rnacentral:lncRNA from 1 species
GCAAACCAACAAACAGCUUUAUGUUAACUUUUACAAACUGCCACAUUUUCAGGUUGAACGAUCAGACAUAAAUCUUGGUGAAACUAGAAGUAAUACAACCUGUGCUGUGGAGAUAAAAGAAAGGGCAGCAGCACUGGUGGCUGCAGAAAUUGAGGCAUGUAGAGACAAUAGAACCCCCGAGAUACCUCUGCAUAAGAAAGUCCAGAAAGAGUGGGCUUGUGCUGUAUGCCAGUUCACAACCCAAAGUGAAGUGACCUUCAAUUCCCACCUUCAAGGGAAGAGACAUCAGGCCACUUCUGAGCAGUUGAGAGCCAAAAACCAGGCAACCAAAACCAAUUGUUCCCCAUCUGCUUCAAAGGCCAAGAAAUCUGAUCAGUCCACCAAAGAGGAGCAACCAAAGUGUCCUUCCAACAAUCUGAAUUCCAAAAACAAUGGAAUCUCAGCUGCUUCAACAGUGAAGAAACCUGACGAGACCAAAGAUGAUGAGCAACAAAAGUGUGCAUCCAGCAAUGGACCAAACCAGAAGAAUAACAAAAAGCAAGAGGAGAAGGUGCUAGUUCUUGAGACCAAUGAGCAAGGCCAUCAGAAUAAUUUUGAUCCACGAUCCCACAUUUAUUUUGGGUCUCACAAGUUUCAAAUUUGCAGAAAAAUGAAAGAUGUUUGAGAGAAAAUUAAAUCAUAUUGCACUACUGUUAGGAAAAAUAUGGCUGAAUCCAAUUGCUUUUCUUCUCCAAGUCUAUUAAAAAUAUAAUUUUUUCUCCAUUCCUGACAAAAUUUAAAUUUUUUCCUUAAAAAAAAAAAAAUUAAGUUUGAUCACCUAACACAUCUUUCUAAACUCAAUCUCAACUUGAAAAAUCAAACCUUAAUGGAUGGACUAUAGAAAUAGUGAGAAAACACUUCUGGGGUUUUUUUUUUCUUCCAACAUCAAAUUUUUCUAUAUAUGGGAUUUCACAUGCAAAAGCAGGAGUAGAUUUGCUUGUGUUUGAUGUAUGUAUUAGAAAAAUUUGUCCCUUCUGGGAUGUUUAAUACUUUUCUAUUCUUUUAUAUGCAUGUUUAGCUAGAAGAUAUAGAAUCGAUACCAUUCCUUAAAAGUGAUAGCCACAACUGUGAUAAUUAAACACCAAAGAAUGUGAAGAUCUAUAUAUUCUUUUUUUUUUCCUCUCUCUUUCAAUAAUGAAGCUAAGAUGUGUUGUAAGCAUCAAAUGCAUUGUCUCUGCUUGAAUAUAUACAAAGCCAAGGACCACAAGAUGGAUAGAUAUGGGGACGCACAAAACUUCUCAAACAUGAUUAUAUUAAUCAAGAAUUCAACUAAGCUUAAAUUCAAGAUGUUGAUUUCUAGCAUCUCUGGUGCUAUAGGAUGACUAUUGAUCCUGUACUGUUAUGUGCCCUACUGAUAUAUUCUUCGGGUUGUUAUGUAUAAAUAAAAUUUUUGGGAAAGUUUGCUUGGUGGUUACACUAUCACUAUUUAGGCCAGUAAAAAUUGGAAGCCUUUGUAAAAAACUGAUGGUCCAAGAGCUAUUCUACUUCAUCAUCCAUGUAAUAUGACGAUACAAAUUUGACUAAAUGCAGCUAUAGAAGGCUUAGGACCAUAAACCAAGCCUAGUCGAUGUCACUCACCUAAAUUUAUGCAUAAAGCUUUUGGAUGGCUCAGAGUUAUAUUUAAUUACUGUUAUGUUCGCAACUAUAUUUUCAUUGGAUUUAUAGUCCAGCUUGAGAACUAGUCCUCCAUUGCACAUAAUGUCCACACAAGGCCACAGUGCCCGCUCAAAGGCCAUAGCGCUACUCAAGGAUAUAGUGCUUACUCAAGGCCAUAGAGCCCACCUAAGGCUAACGACCCAAAAGGAGAAAAAGGUUGGUUCCACGUACUCUAAUAUUUACUAGAAAAGGUUCUUCCUAUUAAAGAACAAAAAAUUGCAUUCCCUUGUGACCAAUCCAAACAGUAGACCACUGACUUGUAUAAGGCAUUAUUCACCAUGCAAGCACUUUUUCAGCAACCUACCAUCUGGCAUGAACCAUUUUGGAUUGAUUCACAAAGCAAUGGUGUUAUAUUAAGCAUAUUCAAUAUAGAACCAAAUUGUGCCUCCUUAGAUUAACUAAAAUAUUUCCAUUGCAAGAUGUGCAGAUAGGCAUAUGAUCAUGAAGUAAUUUCCUGAUGAUAAUACCCCACAAAAUAUUUCUUUUUCUCACUGAUCUCUCCUAGAUUUUCAGUUCACCCAUCCAUGGCGCCUGACUAAAAAUGGGGGCAUUUUGGAUACCCCGAGCAGUAAGUUAGCCUGGUAGGCAUCCCGUUGCAAGCAAAGUCAACCCGAGCGGUCCAUUUGACCAAAGCUUAUCCAGGCAGUAAGCGUCCAUAUACAGCUAACUGUUAUGCACCAUCAACAGGUUGAGGUUACAAGAUUAAAGAGUCAUAAUGGCCAAAUGGAAGUUACACGACUCGGCCUAUAUAAUAACAGUAUGACAAAAAAUGCAGGUAUGAAGAACUAUCACUGAAAAAAUUUAUUCCUAAAAAUCCUUUAAGCUCCUUUAAGCUAACUUGGGCAUUGGAGAGGUCUCUCCGAAGCACACUCGAGCUUACCUUUUUGUAAGACAUCGAGAACAAGAGGCAUUGAAGUGAUUGUCCGGAGGGUUGAACUUGGUCGGGAACCAACAAUACACACUAUUCAAAAAUAGGGAUCAUAUUAAAUUAUUAAUGCAACCAUAGGAAGCAAUUGAGGACAAGGGUGUUAUUUGAUUAAAAGGGUAAUUGAAAACCUAAAUUUUGAAAUUUAACCCUCCAUUCUAUUUGGCCUUAUGUGAACAAAAAUGCCUUCAUUAUUUUCUUGUAAAAAUAACUCACCCAUUUAAACCUUACAUGAAAAUACUUAAAAUGGUAAAUGAUAUGUUAAAAAUUGAUUAUUUUUCAAAUAAAACAUAAGAAGGGUCAAAUUCAUGAAAGGAUUAUUUCAUCCCUUUUAAUCAAUUAAUUCGAUUUAUUUCUUUUUAUUUUUUUUCUCUCCAUGUUAAUUUUCACAUCACCCAACAACACCACUCUUAAUUCACACAAGUUUGAAGUUUUUGAAUGAGAUAUAUUCGUAAUUAUAUUGUAAUUGUGUUAUAAUAACCAUUUCGUACUUGGAUUUGUUCUUUCAGUCCAUUUAACCUUUUUGUUUAUUCAUGUCAAAACAAUGUACUUAUAAUCGAAUCCAUUUAUGACAUGUUGAUCUUAUAUAAAUUUAUUAAUUUUAUAUAUUUAAAAAUUAUAAAAAUUAAAUAUACUUUUUCAAUUAUGAAUAUCAUAUUACUAAAAUAUUAAAUAACAAAUUAACUUGAAAUGCUAUAUAUUUCAUUAAUUAUUUUAUAAUUAAAACAUUAAAUGAAAUAAUAAACAAGUAUAAAAUAGAAAAUUCUAUCUUAGUUAGAAAUUAUAAACUGUUAUUGAGACAUAUAAGUAUUAAAAUUCUACCCAUUUCACUACCAAACAACUUAUGUUUUUAGUCAUAAUUUAACCUUAUGAUGAACACUUAAAUAAAAUUUGUCAUCUUUUUCUAUUGAUUUAUAUUUAUUUAUUUAAAAAUUUUGUCUGGCAUAAACUAUCAUCUCACAAAAUCAUCAUUGAUGAGUAGGCUAUGCCCCAGUGUAAGCAUCUCCAAAUCAAACAUCAAUGAGAGGAGUACAACCAAUCAUACAUCAUCUUAUCAAAAUGAAUCUCCGCUUUUCAAAGUCAUCGUGGUAACGUGAAGAGAGUAUUUGACCUCCUCUAAAGAAAAAACAUGUCUUGAUGUGAAAAAGAUCAAGCAAAGUGGUAUGCCUCAACAAAAAUGUGCUCAAACAUGAUCAUGCCCCGAUGUAAGUUAGUAUCUCUAAGAUCAAUCGCCAAUGAAAAGGUUAUUCCCCAGUAUAGGGCAAACUCUGAAAUGACUAAACUCCGUUGCAAGCUCUCAUAAGUGUCUGUGUCAUGAUCCAAUCAUCGCAAAAAUUUGUCAACAAUGAUGAGAAGGCUAUGCUCCUAUAAUCACAUCAAAGAAAUCACUCGGUCAUAUUACUCCAAUGUGAAAGAAAUCUAAUCACCUCCAAGGAACAGCUAUGCCUCAAAACCAUCAUCGACUGAGAGGGGGAUGCCCCUGAUCCAAUCACCACCCUAACUAACGUACCCAUCAUGAGGAACACUUGUUUGAGCUCCAUAAUGGGGAUCAACCAUUAGAUGAACAAGAUUCGAAUAUUACUUGCUCCCCAUUUCAACCAAUGAAUGAUGUACCUGGAAACCUUGUAGACAACCAUAGUUUUCAGCCUUCUUCCUCGCGAUCAUCUAGAACAGAGUCGGUAAGCUUCACUCAUUUCUUAUAAUGGACCUUGACCCACAACGUCGAACUACCUGUAUGCAAAAUUAUCCGUCCAGAAAACCCAUCCAUACAAUUCAGGUUCAAAACCCACAAGAACCACCCUAUGAAUAAACUAAUUAUAGCUGGCUUCGUUGCAAUAGGCAUUAACUUUCUUAUGCUGACAGUCCUAGCAUCAUUUACCAAAGGAUCAACAACUUUUCCAUGUCAGAGAACAUUAUCAAUCACAAUGACACCCCUGGUCCUCACUAGUUGCGAUAGCAAUUUAAAGUAUUCUUGAUUCAAAGGGUAAACAAAACAAAAAAGAAAACCCUAAGUGUGACUCCUUAUUUGAAAAAUGUGGUUUAUGAAAAACCGGAUCGAGCUUAGGGGUCAGGUUACUUAUCGGGAAGGUACAAAAAAAACCGUAGCACCCCUCUAAGUCCCUAAAAUGGGUCUCUAUUGAUAAAAUGAAGCAAUCAUGGCAAUUGGUAAGGAAAUCAUUGAGUAUCAACAUGAUCACACAUUGAGAGUUAAAGCAUGCAUGAGGAAUGGUCAAAGUGAGAAAGGAUGCGUACCUUAGCAACGAGUCCCAAUGCGCUAUCAAGAAAUUGGGUUAGUGCACAAUCAAUAAAUAUAAAAUAUAACACACAUGCAUCACUAAAUAGGGUAAUAAAUCCCCGAUGACAAACCUUGCACUUCACUCAGGUUUAUUUCUACUUCUCUGAUGUUGGGCCCCACCAAAGCUCAUUUUAUUUUGCAUGAAUCAACUCCAAUAACUCCAUUAUUCGGAAUUACGAAAUUUAAUUCUUGCUUAUUUUAAAGCAUUUUAAAAAUAGAGGAGAUAUGAGAAUUGCUCGCCAGAAAAGAAGAUGGCGGCAAAAUUUUAAUGAAAAACGAGUUUUUGGAACCUAAGAAAAAUGUUAAGGAUGGAAAAUUUUGGAGGUUUGAAAUUAAUUAAAAAUUAGAAUUGAGGAAUUUAUUUACAAAAUGGGGUUUAGGAAAAUUAUUUUCAAAAAAAAAAAAUGAUGAAAUGAGAGAUGGCACGUGACACAAGGGUGGCCAUGCUGAAGGCGUUCUCUUCUGGCCCAAGCUGGAAAUGCACUCCAAUUAUCCUUCUUUUCUGGUAUAACACCUUCAUCAAAAUAAAUAGCUUUUGCACCAUACUCUGAUAGACAAGGACCAAUAACAAUGCCUAUAUUUGCCUUAAGUAGACAAAGUAAGUCACCCAUUGAACCUCCAAUAUAAAUUGUCAAGUGCUCUGUGUCAUUACUGCAUCCCUCCUUCAAGAUGUCCUUAGAAACCUAAAGCUUUUCCACGACAUACUCCAUCUUCUUAAUGAUUUCACCCGUGGAAAUGGAUUCUUCACAAGCCAACUCAUUUGAAUAUACUCUCAAAACACCCAUAUCACCUGAUGAAAAUGCUGAUCUAACGAAAUCGCCACACCAACAGUAUGAAAGUCCAUGAACAUCUGCUUUCAGAUUAUUAUUUUUAAGAAUCUUUUGGAAGAAACCUGUGCAACCAUCUUGAAGAAUUAGACCUUGACCAACCUGUUUUAUAUCAUCUGAAUUUAAACCCUUCAAUACUCCAGACUGAGUCACUCUUGAAUCUGCCUUUUCCUCAAAAUCAGAAAGUUGCUCAAGUGCUUUACAUAAGCCUUCAUAAUUGAAUUUUUCCACUGUUUCACUGGGGACGAUGCUUCCCAUGCAUUUUUCAAGCUCUUCAGUAUGCUGGGUAGAUAGAACACCCCAUGUGUGUGUCCAGAUCACCAUGAGUGACCAUUUGAACCUUGACGAAUGAGAGAGUACAUAACAUUUAAGCACACAGGACAUAUAUUAACAUUCUCCAUUAGCUUCUCUUUGCCUUUGUCCACCUCUUGACCUCCCAUGCAGCCAACUGUGAAGACCACGUCCAGGUGCAGUCACGUGGUGACACAUCUCAUGGUCUUCCUCAUCCAAUAAAUCACAUGCUCUGUUAAAUCUGCUACCCGAAUGGAUACCUCCUAUCCAUCAACCUGAAUAUACUCCGAGCUUUCUUCAUAAAACCCAAGAAACUCCAGAAGGCAUCAUGGUUCUCCUCCAUCAUUGAAAUGAUUAGGGAUAGUAAAUCACUCAUCCCUUAGCAAUAUCCCAUUUUUAAACCAUAGGGUGCGUAGGCUUCUAGAAUAGUAGCAAAGUGAGCAACACGGAAAAUCUUGCGUGGAUCCAAGUUCCAUGAUGGUGAUCGUAGCCUCACCUUUGAAAUCACAAGACCCAGAACCCAUUCGUUCUUCCUGGUAAUAACUAUCAGAUGCAUAGGAGGCAGGGUUCUUCAGAUUGUUGAUUUGGUAAAAGCCUCUUCUGGUUGAACCCCUGAAUGAUUCACUUUUCUCAGUCCGCAAACCUAGUUCAGAACAGCCCGCAAGAUCAGAACCUUAACCUAGGCGUGGAGAUCCAGUGUUGUAUAACGCCUCAAUUGUCGGAAGCAGCCAUGGCCCAAACAAUGAUAUAAUGGUCAGCAAGUUGUCCCCAAGGACCAUGACAGUGAUGAGCAUUUCCGGGCAGCGCGUCACCACGUUCCACGUCGCGACGGUAAUGGCUAUGGACUGAGUGUCAUGGUCAGGGAGCUUGAUGAAGCAGGUGAAAAUCUGGUGUUUUAGAUUCUGAGGCAAUGACUGCUUGAUCGGUCGGAUUCUAGUACCGGCGUUACAUUGGGGAGGCAAUCUUAAAGUUCCAACGGAGGUAGUAGUGGACUAAUAUUCCUCAAUAACCAAACUUGAGUUUCUCACUUUCCGCUUCUCAAGGCAUUCACCUGAAACGCUUCAGGCGCCCAAACCCUUUCUGCUCAUCAGUAUAAUCACGCGCAUGAAAGUCUUAACUGCCUUCUAAACUUCACAACUUCAUCUUGCAUCUGGGUCAUCGUCGGCACGAACUUAUCACCUGAUUCAGUUAAUAUCCCCAUAUAACAAGUUCCAAUGAAGUCGCAACUUUGCAUCUUCUUUUCUGCGAUUACUUUGAUUCUCAAAGCCGAUUACUUGUUGCAGUCCAUAGGAGAUUCAAUAAUCAAACAUCAUGCACAAGCAAAAAGGCAACAAAAUACAUCGGCAUGUGGCCCAUACACCCUCCAAAAUCUUCACUCAUUUAGUAAGUUUUAGAUUCAAAAGAGUUAGCCUUCUGGUGAGCAACCCGAUACCCAUAACGAAUGAUGUAUCUGAAACACCUUUCCCACGUGGCCCUUGAAGGAUUCACUAGAAGGUGACCAUGCAUAGUAGGUCUUCACUCGCAGGAGAAUGAGAAGGAAAUAAACCUAAAGGGGGGUUGACAGCGUAGUCUAGAAGGUGAUGAGCUGAGCGGGUGGGGGUAUUAGGGUGGUCAAGUUCAGUGGGUAUGAAGGGUGGAAAGAUGGCAUGAUAGAGGAAUAAGCAGCUGAUAGUGGGUGCGAUGAUAUAAGGUAGGUUGACUAUGGAGAGUAUGGCAUUAAAGGAUGAAGACUUAGAGAGAGAGAGGUGGGUUUAAGGGUAUGGUGAGAUGGAGGGUUGAGGGUGAUAGGCUUGGAUAGUUGCAUGAGGAGGAUGAAAGGUGGGUAUGGAAAAUGUGCAUGGGUAGGAAAUGGGUAUAACAAUGGGUGUGAAUAUUGAGAGGUAGUGAAAUGAAGGCAGCCUUGCUCGUAUGGAUCAGUGUCGGAUUGAGUUAAGAAUGGUGAGAGAAAGGGAUUCGAUGAAUAUUGAAUGAUGGAAAAUGGUGAUUGGUUAGAUAGGGAUUUGUGGUCGAAUGGAAAUAGGAGACAUGAACAUAGAGAUGAGUGUGAUGGAUGAUAGUGGGCAUGAAGGGUAUUGGAUUUGUUCAUGGGUAUAGUGGUUAAAAGAGUGGUGAGAAGAAAAAAAAAUGGCCAUGUAAAUAGCAAUUAUACAUGUGGGCCCGUGAUUGCAAACGGGACUGCAUUGUUGCAUCUCAUGCUGAACCCUCACCUCCUUCUAGGAUCAUUUUCUGCAUCAAAGCUAGAUAAACUUAGAUGGUAUUUCCUGCCAAUUUUGGAUGCCCCCCACUUUGGAAAUAUUUCCUUUUCACCCAUCAGAAUAUGCUUAUCAGGUGUACUUGACUCAGGUUCAUUCCCAUAUUGCCUCUCUGAUUUAUGAUCUUCAAAGGUUUUGCAUGAAGGAAGCCUUUCACUGCAUUCCCCUUCAUCCACCAGACCUUCAGAGCAUCGUUUCCAACAAAAGCAACCUUGACUCUUCUAGUCCCAUCAGAAAAAAGUCUGAAUAUCCUCAGUUUAUGUCAUCCCUUGAUGCCCAACUCAGAAAUGAUCCAAAAAACAGUCAUCUCCCAUAUUUGGCUUCCCAGAAACACCUCGACUCAGAUGGCCAGUCCAAAUGUGAUACCCAACAUUCUAAAAAUGCUAAAAACAGAGGAGAUGAUGAAGAAAAACAGAGCAUGUAUAAAAGAAAAAAAAAAGGACUGUUAAAUCUCACUCCAUUCCAUAAAUGCUAAUGGGGUGGAUAUGGUGGAAUCAAAAGGAAGCAAGAGCGUGAUCUUCAAAAUCAAAAGCAAUGAUGGAUCCAUAUUCAAAACGUUCCAGAAUAGAGAAAGACACAAAUAAGGAGCAGGGUUUUUUUUUGUUACUGGCAGGAAGAUAUUUUUUCUAGAGAGUAACUAGAGAGAAAAAUAGGAAGAAAAGGGAAGAGCAUAGAAGACAUCUACAUAGGAGAGUAUUCAUUGUUGUGAGGAGUAGUAGAGAGCUUAGGAGGAGUUACAAAGAGAGUGAGUUUGGUUAGAGGAGGAAGUUUUGUUGGUUUUUCAGAAAGGAUUCUAGCUUGAGUGAGAGCCAUUCUAGAGAGGGUUAGAGAGGAGAAAGGUGUGUUUUGAGCAGCAAAGACACGAAGCAAAAUAGAGCAGCCAGGAAAGAGAAGCAGAAAAUCAAAAUUACUAAAAAAUUAGUGAAAGCUGUGAAAUUUCAUAUUGUUACUAAUUAUUAUAAUUUUUUUUUGUAUUUUCAAUAUUUCAACCAAUAUUUUAUAUAAUUAAAUUUAAAUUAUAAGAAUUAUAUUAUUAAUACACAUAACUAUCUUAAUGUUUUAACAAUGUAUACUUAUUUAAAUUUAUUUCAAUUUUUUUAUUUUUUUAUAAAUAUCUAAUUAGACUUAUAAUUCAUUGAAAUUAUUCAUUUUUUUUUUACUUCAUAAACCAAUUAUAUUACUUUUUGUAUUUUCAAUAUUCAUUUGGAAAAAAUAAUUUCAAUUUAAAAUAAAAUAAAUUAAUUAACUCUCAAUUUAUAAAUUGUGUCAUUGAAUUAUUUUUUAUUUAUAAUAUUUAGUUUAUUUUAAAUUUAAUUUUUUUUCUUCACCUUUUGGUUUAUCACUUUAUAUUAAAAAAUAAAAUAAAAUUGAAUUUCUUUUAAUUUAUAUUUUCACAAAUUAUUCAAUAUUUUUUUAAUUUUUAUAAAAUAAAUCCUCAGAUUAUAUAAUUGGAUGUUGUAAAGAGUUAAAAUUUUUGUGUUGCAUUGAAUUAUUUUUUCUAACAAAAGUAUAUUUGGGUACCGUAGACAUUAUAUCCAUAUCUUAACGUAUUAUAUACUUUUAUUUUGUGCAAUUAGCAAUUGAGCGGAAGACGCGGAGCCGGCUAACGGAAAUACCGCGUGUCACGCGUGUCCCUUCCCGUACCAAGUCUCAACUGCUUCAAGAUUUCCGACGCGCCCUUCUUCGCUUAACUCUUAAGUCUUUUCUUCCACUCUUCCUUAAACCCAUCACAUUUCGCCGCGUGGACCUAAGUCUCAAUGUCCUUGUGUUCAUACGAUGUAUGUUCCCCCAAUUCCUCAUCUACACUGAAACUCCAUACUCGCCUACUCAAUCACUUCUCUACUCUAGAGUCUGGAUGCUUAUCUCUGCGCGUGUCGAUGGCUCUUCACCCCAGCGAGUAUGGCAUUACAAGGGCAAUAUCGUCAUUAAAGACACAACAGAGUGUCUAUUUUAUUUAAGCUGUACGUAAUCGUGAUUGACUUCUUAGUAUCCUUUUGCUCCUAGUCUUCUCCCGCGUCUCUUAUAAAAACUAAAGAAAACCACUCCAAGAGAGCACACUACAAGAAUCUUCUUCCUUUUUUUCUUUCCUCUUUCUCUUUACAGAUAAACUGAGAAAGCCCAGCUCAUCCCUCAAUUCCCAGAUGGGUUUCAUGAAUGUUCUCAAGUUCUCAGCUGCAUGCUUUGAUCUUCUUGGCUGGUAUGUUGUCCACGCGUUUUCUUGCCAUUGGAAAUUUUUGGGAAAUGAAGUGGAAUUCUCUGUUUGAGGACAAACAUGGGAUUUUCUUUGAUUUCUCCCUGUUGGUUUUAUCUAUAUUCUUUGAAUUACCCACAUUCUUGUCAUUGAUUGUUAGUCAUUUGUUUGGAUUUCUACUUGCAGGCCUCUAUGUGCACUGGGUUAUCCUCUGUAAGUCUUGGUCUUACACCUCAAGAUAUGAUGAUUCAUUUACUCUUUUCUUGUUCUACGAAUGGUUCAGUUACAUUUAUUGUGUUGGGAAACUGAAAAGGAAAAGGAUUAUUAGUUAUUAUCGUAAUAAUCAUCAACAUCAUCUCGGUUCUUCACAGAUGUGCUUCAAUUCGGGCAAUUGAGACUAACUCAAUCUCAGACUUUCGGAAGUUGGUGGCGUAUUGGGUUCUAUUUUCCUUGAUUUCACUCUUUGAUCAUGCUUUUUCCAAGCUCCUUGAAUGGUAAUUUUGCUCAACUGCAUUCCACUAUAUGUGACUCUGUUUGUUUCAUUUCUUUGCCCUUAAGGAAUUUGGAGUUGCUUUUUUCAGUUUUCUUUCCUAUGAAAAUAAUCGAGAGGUCUCCAUGUAUUUUAUAUUCCUUCAUUUCUCUGCUUUGACAAAGGCCCACAUUCUGAUCAGCAGAAAGGUUAUAACAUUUGAAAAAGAAGUGCUUUAUUUUUGUUUUUUGUUAGUACAAUAAUUUUCGUUUGGAUAAAUGGUCUGAAGGGUGUUUGUGUUUGGCUGAGUUCAUGGAAUUUUCUAGCUAAUUUGGGAUUUAUUCUCAAUUUCAAGAUCAUUGUGGAUAUGUCAGAAAUUAAUGAAAUAUAAACGGUGGAAUGUGAUUUUCUUGUUUAAGAAAAGUUUUUCUUUGAAAAUACGGGUGCACCUGACCUACCUUAUUGUGCUACUUGGAACACAAAACAUUAGUACAGGUAAUUUAUUAACUAAAUUGUACACUUUUUGAUAGUUCAAGGAGGUGGUUUUCUUCUUUUAGGGUGUCAGCUUUGGAAAUAGGAUGGAUCUAAAAGUUUUUAUGUCUCAUCUUUAUAGGGAACUUGAAAGCAUGGAUGCACUUAUUUCCAUGGAAUUUGGCUUCCUUGAAAUCAAAUUAAGCUUUAUGCAUCAUUUGGAUGCUGAGAAACAAAUGGAAAUAGAAAAUUCAGAAUCUGACAAGUUUUUGUAGGGCAACUGGAUCUAAUCUCUUAGUCGAAGCCUAAUUGGGGCAAAUGCUGAUCAUCUUUGGACCCCAUUGAAAGCUCUAAUCUGUGCACAAUUCUAAUGUUUUUGUUUUCUUCAUUUCUUUUUCAACUUUUCACAAUAGAUGUCAAAGGUUAAAACCAAAUUUACGCAGUCCAUCCAAGUGGAUGCAUAUAAAUUUAACAGAAACUGAAAUUCGAAGAAAUUUAUUUUCCCUUUUGUAAAUGGUGUUUAAAUAUUUUAUUUUCUUAUAUAAUGCAUGUCAGGGUACCAUUCUGGCCUUACAUAAAGCUGAUGGUCAUCUGCUGGCUGGUGAUACAGCAGUUUGAUGGUUCAUAUUAUGUCUAUCAACACCUAGUUCAGCCAUGCUUGUCCAUGGAUCCACAAGCUGUCAUGAACUGGCUCUUCAAUGAAUCAAAAAAGAAGUUUCAUAGCAGAGAAAACUUUCUUGUUUCAGCAGACCGAUAUAUUAAGGAGAAUGGACCUGAAGCUUUGGAGAAACUACUUUCUAGGAAGGUAUGCCAUUAUAAGUAGGAUUAUCAACAAGUCAAACAGAGUUUUAUUUGAGAUGUUCAGGUAAAAAAUGACUAUAGUAGGUCAUCUAGAAUCAUUUGGUCUAAAUUCAUGUAUAUAUCUAUAUAUAAUUGUGUUCUCUUUUUUUCACAUAUGCAUGUGCAUUUAGAUUUACAUAAUUAUAUAUGCAUAAUCAGAUUCAACUGUGAUAGCCCGGAAUUAUUUCAGUAAUCAACUCUUCUGGGAACAUGUUGGUUAUGGUUUCUCUCUCACUGUCCUCUUCUUUAUACAUGACUUUGGCUUCAGUUGAGGAGCGCAAAGCCUAAUGUUGAAGUGAAAAAGAUCAAAGCACCUGCAGCACCGGAGAAAAAAGGGGAACAGGUAAGUUCUCUAAUGUGACUAUUUAAUUUCUAUGAGGCAGAUCCCCAGAGAAAUGUUGCUCAUGUAAAUUACUGAUGCAUUUGAUUCAAUGGCAUGGUUUUAAAAGAAAAACCACUUUAUGUAUGUUUCUGUGAAUAAGAGAACAAGUUUAUGGAUUAAAUGAUAUUUUUUAUGGUGGAUUAAUCAAUAAUUUUCAAAAUAAUAAUAUAUUCGUGCAUGUUUUUGCAAUUCAUGAAUUCCUUUUAUGAUUGAUUCUUCUUGCCUUUUUUCUCACCUCAGUGGAAGUGUGAAGAGCCUAAUGUUGCUCAAAAGGAGAUCCAAGUUGUCAAAGUAACAGAGAUAAAAAAUGGGGGGGAUGGAGCAAAGAGGGUAAGUUUUGCUUUUUAUUUAUAAAGUAGGCUGUCUUCACACAAGGAUUAUUAUCUUUAAGACAUGAAUGUUGAAUGCUUUUGGAAUUGUCCAUGAAUCAUGUGUAGUGUGAAUGGCCUAAUGCUGCUAAGAAGGAGGUCAAAGUGACAGAAGUAACACACAGAACAUUCGGUGGUACAGCACAGUGGGUAAGGUUUCAUGUCAUAUUUAAAUGGCUCCUCAUAUUUCACUAGGAUUAAUUUUGCCCCUACAAACAUAUUUGGCUACAAGUUAAGACAGAGUUCCAGAUGCUGAUAAAGUUGAGACAUAAGUAAUGAAUGAGUUUAGAAACAUGCACAACUCUUGUGUGAAACACAAUGAGAGUGGAAAAUAGCUAAGUUGAAAAAUGGCCAAAUACUAUUUUGUAGUUCCCCCUACCACUUAAGUAAUUUUUGUCAUCCUUUGUGAAUGGAAAAUCCAGUCCCUUCAGUAAUUCCGUUAUAUUCAUGACUUGGUGAAGCAUAUAACCAUUAGUGUCUUGCCUUAAGUCGACCUUUAAUGAUGAUCCAUUGAGAUGGGUCUGACUUUUGUCAACCCUCUUAUUCCCUUGAUCAUAGAGGUUAAACUUAGGGGGCUUAACCCACUUUUGAACCUUAUUGGAUAUAUGGCACAUGGUAUCCUCUUCAUCUUGAAAGAGUGAAGUGGUCAUACUCUUUCCUCUGAGUCCAUUGUGGCCAUGCACUUCUGGCCCAUUGGGCUGAGUGAAAGGAUUCCCUUCUGCUUCAAAUCAUAGAGAGAUAUGCCAUGGUCAGCCUCUUUAAUUCAAGGGAUCGAAGUACUCAAAUCCAUUUCUCUGCAUCCAUCUUAAUUCUGCAUUCAUGUCUCAUGGUUAACCAAGAAGAUCCAGCUUCCAUCCAUGAGAUCAGCAUCUGCAGGUUUAUGACACCACCCUUCCUUGGCAUAGGAAAGGGAUCAUUAAGCCAUGUGUUGGAUGACAGAAGUCAUCAUUCAGGUUAUCUUGAGAACUAAGGAAGUUGGAAUUCUAAUUAUUGCAUAUGGUUCUUGAUGUUUAGCCAAUAUACCGUAGGAUUUUAAGGAUCAUGCUCAUGUGCAUUGUGGUUGUUUAUCAGCUAUAUGGUUUACCAAAAUGAGGGACUGAUUAUGGUCAUAAGUACCUUUUUCCUAUUAAUUUCUUGCAUGUGCUCUGCUGAGAUUAUGUUUUUGACAGUCCAAAUCAGGGCAAACCAACAAACAGCUUUAUGUUAACUUUUACAAACUGCCACAUUUUCAGGUUAAACGAACAGAGAUAAAUCUUGGUGAAACUAGAAGUAAUACAACUUGUGCUGUGGAGAUAAAAGAAAGGGCAGCGGCACUGGUGGCUGCAGAAAUUGAGGCAUGUAGAGACGAUAGAACCCCCAAGAUACCUCUUCAUGAGAAAGUCCAGAAAGAGUGGGCUUGUGCUGUAUGCCAGGUCACAACCCAAAGUGAAGCGACCUUCAAUUCCCACCUUCAAGGGAAGAGACAUCAGGCCACUUCUGAGCAGCUGAGAGCCAAAAACCAGGCAACCAAAACCAAUUGUUCCCCAUCUGCUUCAAUGGCCAAGAAAUCUGAUCAGUCCACCAAAGAGGAGCAACCGAAGUGUACUUCCAACAAUCUGAAUUCCAAAAACAAUGGAAUCUCAGCUGCUUCAACAGUGAAGAAACCUGAUGACACCAAAGAUGAUGAGCGACAAAAGUCUGCAUCUAGCAAUGAACCGAACCAGAAGAAUAACAAAAAGCAAGAGGUACAGACCAAUGAGCAAGGCCAUCAGAAGAACUUAAAGCAAACUGGCGAUGGAAUGAAAGAGUUGAGAUUAUGCUGCAAUAUCUGUAAUGUAAGCUGCACAAGUGAGCUUGACAUGGCCUCUCAUCUCAAUGGAUGGAGGCACUUUAAUAUGAUAAAGGAGGCGUCUGAAUUAUGGUGCAGUAACUGCAAUGUAAGGUGCAACAGUGAGGCUGUCAUGGCCUCUCACCGAAAUGGGAGGAGGCACUUGAAGCAGCUGAAGGAACGGUCGGGAUUAUAGUGCAGUAUCUGUAGCGUGAGAUUGUGUUAGGAAGAGGUGGAAUGGGUUCCAAUCAGGAAUUAAGACUCGGUUCCAAGACAUGGAAAGUGUCUUUAGAUUAUGUUAUCUCCAUUUUUUUUAUUGUGAGAGGGGAGUAUAAGGAAUGAAAAUAAAUAUAUAUAUAUUUUUUAAUAGAGAUGAAUUUGAUAAUUUUAAUUAUUGUGUUUUGAUGUAUUUAGGAAUGUAAAAUUAAAAUAAUUAUUUAUUUUCAUUUUAGUAUUUGACAAUAAUAAAAUUAUGAAUUAAAAAAUAAUGUGAUAAUAAUACAUUUAUAUUUAAUUUAAAAUAUUUUUUAUUUUAUUUUAGAAGAAUAUGGGUUAAAUUCUUUUUUUAAAUAAUAAGCUUAAGAAAAAUAAUUUUUACUCAAUAAAUAAAAUUAAUCAUAAAAAGUCAUAACAACCUAAUAAAAAUAUAGGGGUAAAAUAAUAAUUUUAAAAUAUUAUUUAAGUUAUCCAAACAAAUUUGACUCUUCAUUCUCUCUCUUGAACCAAAUACGGUCUUUUAAGCGUUUGUCAACUUAUUUUUUUUUGCAAAAUAUCAAUAUUUUACUAAUAUUUUUAUCGAUUAUUUGCCAAUAUUUAUCGCCACGUCACCAAUUCUUUGAGUUUGACUUUCAAAAUUUUGAAAUGAUAUUUGAAGUCCAGUUCAGCCCAAAUCACUACACCCAUGAUUUUUCCCUUUUCUUUUUCUCCUUAAUUUUCACAUCACCCAACAACACUACUCUUAAUUCACACAAAUUUGAAGGUUUGGAACGAGACUUCUUCCUAAUUAUAUUGUAAUUAUGUUAUAAUAACCAUGUCGUAUUUGGAUUUAUUUAUUCAGUCCAUCUAAAUCUUUUGUUUAUUCAUGUAAAAAGAAUAUAGUUAUAAUCGAAUCCAUUUGUGACAUAUUCAUCUUUUAUAAAUUUAUUAAUUUUAUAUAUUUAAAAACUAUAAAAAUUAAAUAUAUUUUUUCAAUUAUGAAUAUCAUAUUACUAAAAUAUUAAAUAACUAAUUAACUUGAAAUGUUUUAUAUUUCAUUCAUUAUUUUAUAAUUACAACAUUAAGUGAAAUAAUAAAUAGGUUAAAAUAUAUAUUUUAUUUUAGUUAAAAAUUAUAAAUUGUUAUUGAGACGUAUAACUAUUAAAAUUCUACCCAUUUGACCAUCAAACAAACAACUUAAGUUUUUAGUCAUAAUUUAAGCUUCUGAUAAACUCUAUUUCCAUAAAUUAGAAACCGAAAUCAAUUUCUUCUUAGACUCAAAAACAUAAAGACAAUCUUUUAAUUCUAGAAGACAUCUAUCAUUUAAGAUAAGGGUAACAUAUCCCAUUGCCUAAACAACAACUCUUGCUUCAAAAGCCAAUGUCAAGUACAUAUCCCUAUCAUUCAACCUUUCCCUUAGCUAAAACCCCUAUAAAGAAUUAUAAACAUAAUCAAUGGCUCCAAAAUUUAUCCACCAAGAGUUAGUGGAAUCCAACACUAAACAUAAUUCAACUAUAAGAGAAUGAUGCAUAGUUGACUAUCUCUUCAAGAACUAAGGACAUUCCUUCUUCUUCUAAUGGCAUUUUUUACCACAAAGGAAACACUUGUCAUGACCCUUACUCUUCUUCUUCUUCCCCUUAGCCUUAAACUUCCCCUUCUGCUUGAUGAACUCUAUAGUGUUCUUCUUAUUUUGGCUAGAAAAACCUAAAGAACCCUUAACUGCCAUAUAAAUACCUCUCUGGUCCUUGAGAAUUCCCUCAGUCAUUUUGUGUUCUCUCAUUAGUUCAAUUGUAGUUUAAGAAAAAUAAUGUUUUUUAUUUUAUUUUAUGUGAUUGAACUUGGAAUGAAUUUCCAAGUUGCAUACAUACUUGGGUUGAGAUCAAGUCAUAACGUAGUUUAAGAAAAAGAUUUUUUAUUUUUUAUGUGAUUGAACUUGGAAUGAAUCUCUAAGCUACCUACGUAUCCAAGAUGGGAUCAAGUUCUAACAUAGUCACAAUGCAGUUCAAGAUUUUUUUUUUUCUUUUUUUGUGCUCUAACUUUUGUCAAGACUAAAGAUCUUAAUCUUGCAAGCAUGUCCUAACUUUUGUCUAGGUCACCUUUCCAAGUUUUCAACUUAGCAAACAUUUUUUUUUUUUGUUCUCUAACGUUUGCCAAGACAAAAGAUUUUAAUCUUGCAAGCAUGUCAUAACUUUUACCUAAGUCAGAUUUUUAGGUUUUCAAUGUGGUGGAUUUUUUUGUUUUUUAUUUUUUAUUUUUUAUUUUUUGUGUCGUAGGCAAUUUAGCUCAUACGGCCCAGAAGCGAUGUGUAGUUUGUUGGGAUUCAACCCUUAAAAGCAAAACAUGAUGUAACAAAGUUAGACUUAACUAUCCCCUUGCUAUCAUUUUGGUGUAUUAACAUUGAUUUAAACAUUCAACUCAUAUUUUACAUUGUACAUGACUUAGGUGCAUUAGGAGUUGCUCAUAAGAUACAUGGAUUCCUUGUAAGUAGAUGAGUUAUCCAUAGUCAGUUCAUGGAUUUGGGCAAUCUAGUAGAGACUGUAAUGCACCACCUCUUAAUUGAAGAGAUGACUUGUCUUGACAGUUGGGAUAGGUUUCCUAUGGUGAGUGCACUAGUAUAUAUGAUGCACAUUGGAUAGGACCUACGGUAAAUCAUGAGCAAAGCUAUCAAUUGUCAUGAUUCACCAAGUUACGAUACUGCAUGGACUCUCAAUCUUGAGAGGACAUUGAACCUGUGCCAAAAUCAACAAAAAGCUUUCACCUAUAGAUGAGACCUUAAAGUGAUCAUAUAUCCCUAUGGAUUGAGUCACUAUUGAUGAAGGUUGGUGGUAAUAGGUAUUCUCAAUAGAGGCACCAUGAUAUCUCAUGAGAUUGAGACGGUGUGUCCCCUUGGGUGAUACAAAGGACAUGUGAUCAUAAAAUCUGUGACCAUAGUAAUUCUUUUAUUGAAAUUUGACAUAUACCCCUUCGAGCUAGAGUAUGUCAGUUGAUUACAUAAUAAGUGGCAUCUAUAACUUAAGGAUUUGAGAGGUAAUCUUGAUAGGUGAUAGCACUACCUUGUUAGAUUAUGGACACCAGUUCAUGGGGAAUCUACAUGCAGUGGAUGAUAUGUCACGAACGCGAGCUUCAUAUCGUUGUUAUUAACAUAGGAUACUGGAGUGCAAUUGAUUCUCUUUAGUAGAAUGUUGAAUCAACUUCAAAAUGGAUUAUGAGGGAGCCAAUACUCCUAUGGGUCUUAAUGGUCCCCACUCUGAGCUCAUAUACCAUGAUGACACAGUUUAUGAGGGUUUGAUUGGCUUUAUGUUCAUUUUUGUGCAUAAGGGCAUUUUGGUAAUUACACAAGGUUACAUAGGGGAUAGUCAAUAAGGUCUUUAGAUUGGGCCAAUUGAUUAAUUAGAUGACCUUAUGUGGUUAAUUAAUCAAUUAUGAUAUGUUUAGGCUAGAUUAAAUGACCCAAGCCUUGAUGAAUUUAAGUCACUUAAGCCUAGCAGAUAACCUUAUAAAUACCCUCUUAUGGGUUAGGGUUUCCUAAUGACUUUCAGUUAAUCAUCUUCCAUCCCUAGAAAGAGAAAGAGAGCCAAAUCUUUCUCCCUUCCAUUGCCCACACUUUGGUAUGCCAAGAUCAUGGUUCAAGUCACUGGGAGGAAGAUCUUGGGUGUACAAGACCUUCGGACUCUUUAAGUUUCUUCUUCGUUGGAUGAAUUUUUAUUUGGGACACAUCUAGAUCAUAAGUAUGUGUUAGAAAAUUUGGCUAAUUCAACUUAAGGUAAUCACUCUAGAGGAGGGGUGAAUAGGGUGAUGAUCUUUUUUUACAAAUUUAAAUUAUGUGAAUGCAAGAGACAAUUAUACUAUGCAAAUAUAUAGUAAAACCAUAUAAAAAUAAUUGCAUAUAAAGUACAAGGGUAGAAAAUAGAGAAUAUAAACACAAGAUUUUUAUAGUGGUUUGGUGCAACUCGGCCUACAUCCAUUCUCCUCUAGCUUCAAUCCCAAGUUUGAGGUUCCACUAAUUCAAGGCUUCCAACCUAACCCUUCAAGCAAUACAAUUGGAUUAUGGUUCCAAUCAAACCUUUUGGACUUUUGGCUCUAAGCACCUUUUACAAUCUUUGAUUCGUGCCUAACUGGUGUUUGCCCUGUUGAUUGGUGUUCAAUCAACUGAUGUGCUUUGAUUUCAGUCCUCAGACGAGAGUAAUCAACAAAAUUUAUAAACCUAUUUCACCAUAUACUAGGGUAGCAUUAGCUAGCAUAGCAUAGUGGCUCUAGGAUCGUCCACAGGGAUGGGUUUUCAAAUUACAAUUGAUAUUAGUUCAAAAACUGAAUUGGUGUUUUUUCUUUUCAAGGUUAGCUUUAAAAGAAAACAUAAGUAUGUGUGAAAAGGUUGGUUUUAAGUGAAACCAAAAAUAAAGUAACUGAAAUUACUUACAAAGAAAAGUGCUUCUUGGAGUUUUAGAUCACUAGGCUCAAGUUCCUUAUACAAAAAGAGAGAUUCCGAUCACUUGGAUCUUUUCCUAGCAUUGGGGAUUUAACAUAUAGUUAUUUCCCGAACCGGUGCGGUACAGAUGCUUCCCCUUAAUGGUUUCAAACACUAAAUCUCUAUCACUGAAUCAUCUUGUAAUGGUUCAUACCUCUCACCUGGUAUUGGUCAUUUAAGGUGAUCAUUAACCUUGGAUUACCCGUCAAAAGCUCGCAAAAGAUAACUAAUGAAUGUCUCCUAGGAGUCCAAAAGCUUACCAAGUGUUGGCUAUUCUAGAUAAUCCUACCUUUAAACCAUCUCCCAAAAGCUCGCAAGAGAUAAACUAGUGGAUCUCAAUGGACGGAGUCCACUUGCCUUACCAAGUGUUGGCCCAAGUGAUUUUAAGGGAUUUUAAGUUAACUAAAAAGAUAAAAACCAUUAACGGGUCACACUUUCUCUUCAUUAAAACCUGAAACAAUGAAACUUCCACUUUUGUAUACGAAACCUUACCUAGCUUCCUUCACUCCAAGAAACAAAAAGCCUAGCCACUCAUCCUCUAGGAAAACAUCCUCAGAGUUUGAUUUGGUAGAAAUAAAAAUAAAAGAGAAAACCAAAUGUGAAGGUAAGGCCGAGCAGAGCUCUGUGUAUUACUUUAUGAAAAACUAUACAAAAUUUGUCUCUAAGAGAAACUCCCCCGAGAUCUCUUUUAAAAGAAAAUUACAAUAGAUAUCAUAUAAAGAGGCUAUUCACCCCUCUUGCUAACUUCCCAACCAUGAAAACUUGUCAAUGGUGGGUUACAAGGAGAAAAUAGGGAUUUACACACAAAUAUUUGAAGAUAAACAUCAAACUGAGUCGGUGCGCAAAUAUCUCAGAUUACAAGUGGAUUUCGCAAGUUCAAACGCAACUUGCAAAAAUUUUGCAAGUUGAAAUUAUGGUUUCGCAAGUUGCGAAAUUGUCCUGCAACUAAUCAGCUCUCUGUCCUACAACAAUUCCUUUCCUCUUCCUAUUUCGCAAGUUGUGAGAAUUUCGCAAGUUGGAUUCCACAACUUGCAAAAUUGUUGGAUGGUUGAUUUCUUUUGUGAUUUUCUUCCUUGCAUCCUCAUUUGGCUUUGGCAAAGGGUUAUGAAGCUCCAAAGCUUAGUUUCUUCAUGAAUUUGAGCUUCAACUUGCUUUGCCAUGAACUAUACAAAGAUCUCCCUCAUUCUUGGAUUGCUUUGGUGAUAAAAAAGCUAUGAAAAACACCAAAACUUAACACAAUUUGAUUAGAAACGAUUGUAAGGGUCUUUAACAUGCCAAUUGAGUUAAAAGGUAAUAGCUACUACUCAAAAGUGUUUAAAAGAGUUAAUUACAAGCUAUAAAAUGACCCUUUUUGAAGUUCAACCCCUUAAGUGAUACCCCUUAAGUGAUACCCCUUAAUUCAAGAGAUGUCUUACUCUUAAACAACCCCUUAAGUGAUACCCCAUACUUGAGAUUCCCUAAGUGAUGCCUCACACUUAGAUUUUUCAUCUCAAAGAUUUACAAAUGAAGAUAGGAAAUAAUCUCACAAAAUCUUAAUACAAAACAUUAGGCUCAAAUGAUACAAGAUAAACUAUGAUUGAAUGGUGCACUAAUAAUAUGCAAGUUUUAAAACAAUGAGUACUAAAAAACACUCUCCUAAGGUUCAAAUAUAUUCAAGAAAGAUUUAAGAAGGUUAAACUCUUGAAACAAUAAAGAUUGAAACCUUUUUAUGGAGGAGAAAUGCCAAACUAGUUGUUGGGGGUUUGUCCAGUCGAGUUCUGGUUUGACCGGUUCACUAACCGUUAGCAUUUAAUGCAUGAUAGGUGAUCAUUGGGCCUUGACCAUCCCUCGACCAGUACUCAACCGGAUAAAGUUCAACCUUAAUCAAUCGAAUAAGCAUUCUAGAAUAGAGAGAAGGUUUUUGCACCUUUCAAUCAGUUGAGUUGAACAAAUAGACGGAUUCCUUAUCCAGUUCAACCGGUUGAGCCAUUUUUGGCUCAACAAUCAUCAUUUUCAACUUAAAACCUUUUAAACAAGUUUAGAAAGCAUUUGACACAAGGAUUUAGUUGAAAACAUUAAAUCAUCCUAUUUUUAAAAGAUUUAAAACAAAAUACCUCUUGAAUGAUUUUGGUGUAUAAGUAAAUAAUGUAAUGCAUGAAAAACCCAGUGCGCCAACAACCUUACAAAGAGAUCUUAUGAGGCUUAGGUAUUGAAAAACACUUCUCUUUAAGGCAGACAACAUCGUGUGAAUACCAAAGGGGAACUCUACGUUCCUAGGGAAAGAUGCCUCGUCAGUACGUCUUGAGGUUGUUCACUAACUUCGGGGUUACCGGCUUUGAGAGGAGCCCUUUGAUGACAUUUGGGCAUGCAACUCUUCAUUUUCUUCCUUGAUUCGCCUUGUUUGGUGGAUCAAAGAUUGCAUAUGCCAGUCAUUUUUGCACUAGGUUCUCUCCAUGCUUUCACGCCAGCCAAAGUAGCUUUCGUUACCCAUAGUUGAGGAUCGGCUUCUAAAGGGUACUAACAUCCUUAGUCAUUCCCACAGAUGACACCAAUGUUGGUUCUGAGUCGGCUGAAGUCAAAUUCAUCCAACUUAACGGAAGUUUGACAACCUUCCUCCAUUUUUUGUGCCUCUUAGAGAAUCCACCUAGCAGUAAUGAGAUUGGGCGAACUCCUUUCUUGCACAAAAGAAUGUUCAGAUGAGUACUUCGGGUACGCCCUUCGAAGCUUAAGUGAGGCAAAAAUAGCUCAAACUACUUAAUGAGAGAGAGUGGAUAGGUGAAUAUGUGCCUACCUUGUUCGUGCUUUUUGAGGGGUUUAUAUAAUGUUGAUGAGAAUGCCACUAUAGUGCUUACUAGACACUUUAACUUUCUUCUAUAAUGAUGAUUGUCUUGCAGGCGGUUGGGCAAUCAUCAAAAUUUUGGGUGGCUGAUAGGUGCCAUCAACUAACGUGCCAUGAUCUUAGACCAUGCAGUAACCUGUUCCCUCAGUCUGUUGAUGGCCUAAGGUUAUGUGCAACAAUUAAUUGACAUGGACUUGAGGGCUAGAAGAGGUCCCAUCGGCCGUUCACAUGUCAAGUGUGAAUGAUCACUCAUGCUAGUGGGUCUUGAAGAUUUGACUAGACAACCUUACCUAUUUGGGAGGUCCAACCUCCCAUUGCCGUUGUUUUGGCCUUAUAGGAGAAAAGGGCUUUCUCAUGUAUGGUGCUAGAGGGACUAGUCGUGAUCCAGAUGAGUUGCAUACCCAUGCUAGAUGGUCGAAGUGUCCGGGUUGGAAAUGGAGGGAAGCCUCCCACAAAUAUGAGGGAGCCUUAUGAAAACGGAUCCUUAGGGCUUAAGAAGGGGUUUUCAAUUUUAAGGUUUGCCUUUUCACCCAAGGAUGUGAAUGGGAAGAUGAGGCGAAGUUAAAAGAUUGGUGAAGCAAAGUGAGGGCAAGGUAGGGUUUGAAUAAAGGAAAGUAUACACUAUUAAUGAAGAUGAUAAUCUCUAGAAAGAAAAACUAAGGUAAACUAGGGCUUUAAUAAUAAUUUUCAAUCUACACUAGUGAAGAGGAUAUCUUCGAAAACCAAAGUUAGGGCUUCAAUAACGAAUUUCAAUCUACAAUGGUGAAGACAAUAAUCUUCGAAAACCAAAUCUAUAAUGAUGAAGAUGAUUGAAAACUAAAUCUAUACUAGUGAAGACGAUUGGAAAGCAAAUCUACACUGGUGAAGACAAUGAAACCAAAUGUAGGUCUUCUAAACUAAACGCUUUUAAGGAUUUUCCUUUUUUUUUUCCUUUGUUUUCAAGAAAGGCAAACUCUUUAGAAAACUAAAAAAACUAAUGCAUUCUUAGAUCCAGAUCACUAUUUCCAACAUGGUAUUUGGAUUGCCAGCUUGCAUUUUUUAUUUUUUUAUUUUUUUAAUAGUCAUUGGCAUUUUAGGGAUUAUUGAAGGAUAAUAUCAUUCAGCUCAAUUUCCCAAAUUAGUUAGGUCUUACACUCAAAUGUGAAACUUAUAUGGAUGUUAGGCCAAUUAUCAAACUCAUCUGCCCUAAAACAUAAUUUCCCUUUUUUAAAAUAGUUGUUAAACAUCUAUCCCAAACACGUUUAACCCUUUGAAUUGCUUGUAUGUUAACCUUGUUUCCUUUUCUUCAUGCAACAUGGCUUAUUGAUGGUUGCAUUGAAUCAUUAUCAUUCACCAAUUCCAUGCAACUAUGGACUACAUUUCAAAUCCCUCGAACAUAAAUGGUAAUUCCAAAACAACUCAAGUAUAAUCUUUUCAACCCUUUCAAAUGAUUUAAUUAAUUGAUUUUUGAAUAUAUUCAUAUAUUUUUUUGAGCAAUUUUUAGGCAUAUAACAUAAAUCUCUUUUUUAUAUAUAUAUAAAAGGUUUUAUAUUUUAUAUUACAAUUUCCUUUUGUUUUUUCAUCUAAAAAACAAAACAUAAAACCUUAAUAAACGAGUUUUGUCACAAUCCCUUAACAAGUAAUCUAUUUUUUAAAUUACUUUAACAUUUUUAGAUAUAUUGAUUCAAUCUAAUUUACUUUUAAUAUUUUUUAUAAAAUAUUUUUACUUUAUAUGACUAUAAAUUAAUUACUAUUGAUUGCAUAUUAUAGAAUAUAUAUUCUAAAAUAUAUCUUAUUGACAAUAUAAUCAUAAGAUGUUAUAUCCAUAUCCUAACAUAUUAUAUACUUUUAUUUUGUGCAAUUAGCAACAUGGUGGGAAGUGGCAAGCAGCUUAACGGAAAUGUCAUGUGCCAAUGUGCCAUGCGUGUCCCUUCCCUUAGUGAGUCUGAACUGCUCCAACAUUUCCGACAUGUUAUUUUUUACUUAGCUCUUAAGUAUUUUCGUCUCGUUUUCGUUAACCCCAUCACAUUUCGCCACAUGGAUCUAAGCCUCAUGGUCCUUUCGUUCGUACAAUGAAUGUUCCCCCAAUUCCUUAUCUACACUAAAACUCCAUACUCGCCAUCUACUCAACCACUUCUCUACUCUAGAGUUUGGGUCCUUUAUCUCUGCACGUGUCUAUGGCUUUUCACCCCAACAAGUAUGGCAUUACAAGGGCAAUAUCGUCAUUAAAGACCCAAAAGGGAAACCAAUGGCAUUAUCUUCCUUUUGGUCUAUUCUAUUUAUAUUGUAAGUUAUUCGUGAUGACUUCUCCCAUAAAAGCUAAAAACCACUCCAAUAGAGCACACUUCACUUCUUCAUUUUUUUUUUUCCAGAUAAGCUCAGAAAGCCCAGCUCAUCCCUCAACUCCCCGAUGGGUUUGAUGAAUGUUCUUAAAUUCUCAACUGCAUGCUUUGAUCUUCUUAUCUGGUAUAUUGUCCACGCAUUUUCUUGUCAUUGGAAAAUUUUGGAAAAUGAAAUGGAAUUCUAUGUUUGAUGACAAAACUGGGAUUUGCUUUGAUUUCUCCAUGUUGGUUUUAUCCCUUUUGUUUGAAUUGUCCACAUUCUUGUCAUUGGUUGUUAGUUAUUUGUUUGGAUUUCUACUUGUAGGCCUCUGUUUGCACUGGGUUAUCCUCUAUAAAUCUUGGUCUUACACACCAAGAUAUGAUGAUUCAUUUACUCUUUUCUUGUUCUAUGAAUUCUUAGUUCUGUUACAUUUAUUGGGUUGGAAAACUGAAAAAGGAAAGGAUUAUUCGUUAUUAUCAUAAUAAUCAUCAACGUCAUCUCAAUUAUUCACAGAUGUGCAUCAAUUCAGGUAAUUGAGACUAACUCGAUCUCAGACAUUCAGAAGUUGGUGGCAUAUUGGGUUCUAUUUUCCUUGAUUUCACUUUUUGAUCGUACUUUUUCCAAGCUCCUUGAAUGGUAAUUUUGUUCAACUUCAUUCCAUCAUAUGUGGCUCUAUUUGUUUCAUUUCUUUGCCCUUCAGGAAUUUGGAGUUGCCUUUUUUAGUUUUCUUCCCUGUGAAAAUAAUCGAGAUGUUUAAUGUUCCAAGCCUCCAUGUAUUUUAUUUUCCUUCAUUUCUCUGCUUUGAUAAAUCCCCAUGAUUUGAUCAGCAAAAAGGCUAUAACAUUUGACAAAGAAAUGCUUUAUUUUGGUUUUUUAAGUACAACAAUUUUCAUUUGGAGAAAUGGUCUAAAGGGUAUCGGUGUUUGGAUGAAUCAUGGAAUUUUCUCGCUAAUUUGGGAUUUAUUCUCAAUUUCAAUAUCAUUGUGGAUAUUUCAAAAAUUAAUGAAAUAUAUAUGAUGGAAUGUGAUUUUCUUGUUUAAGAAAAGUUUUUCUUUAAAAAUUUAGGUAACCCUGACCUACCUUAUUGUGCUACUCGAAACACAAAACAAAAGUACAAGUAAUUUAGUAACUAAAUUGCACACUUUUUGAUAGUUCAAGGAAGUGGUGUUAGCUUUGGAAAUAAGAUGGAUCUACUAGUUUUUAUUUCUCAUCUUUAUAGGGAACUUUCCAUAAUAUAGCUUAUAAAUACCAUAAUCACAGUGAUGAAUAAUUGUCUUGUUUGAAAGCAUGGUUGCACUUAUUUGCAUGGAAUUUGUCUGCGUUGAAAUUAAAUUAAGCUUUAUGCAUCAUUUGGAUGCUGAGAAACAAAUGAAAAUAGAAAAUUCAAAAUUUGACAAGUUUGUGUAGGGAAAUUGGAUCUAAUCUCUUAAUCGAAGCUUAAUUAGGGCAAAUGUUGAUCCUCUUUGGACCUAUUGAAAGCUCUAAUCUGUGCACAAUUCUAAUGUUUUUGUUUCCUUAAUUUCUUUUUCAACUUUUCAACAAAGCAUCAAUUUGCUAUAAUAAAUGAGAACCAACUUGACGAUGAGAAAAAUGACUGGUGAUGAUGUCAUAGAGAAUCGCAGAUGAGAACAACCAAAAAUACUAGGAUUGGUACCACUGAUGGUAAUGAAGAAAACACAAAAAUGGUGCAAAUGGUGAACAGGAAACUCAAAAUGGAAUGGGAAAAGAAACCUAAACAAUAGUCUCCUAUAUAAAGCACACAACAUGUACAUCGAGGCAUCUGAAAGGACACGCUGCCUGAGAAGUCACUCUAAUUGAUGUGACUCCUCAUGACGUGGGUGGUGGACAUAUGUCCCAUGGUGCCAAAAAUUUCAAACACUCAAGCAACCGAAUACUUUCACUUAGUCAUUUAAAGCCUAGCUAGACUCAAUUGCAAGAAUUAAGGGCAUUGUGGGAUGCUCACCACCGUCUAUCAUGGUCCUCAAACACUGUCUGGUGUGAGACAUAUUGGCACAAGAGCCAUGUAGCUUCUCUAUCCACCCCAAGAUACUCCUAGGGUAGCAAACGAACACAAUCCGACCAAACACUAUGCAUUCCUACCCUACAAGCAUUAAUUUCAAUGAGCAAUAAGUGUAUUAACACAUUAAUGAAUGCAACCGUUAUAACGCUAAAACGCCAUACUUUAAGGUUCAUCAAGACACAACAACCAUUAUGGGCCGACAAUUAUUGGCGUUAAAUAUGGUAAUGCGCAAUCAAAGGCUCAAUUAAGGCCCUUUAGAAGACGUUACUAUUGGGCAAAGAUAAAUAACCAUUUUUUACCACAAGAAAGUCUGAUGCCAUUUUUUUCACAAAAACUUUUGCUUAAGUCUUCCAUCUCUAACCUAAGCUUUGAAGGGGUGUACUUGGAAAACCUAUCCGAACAUUCCUUUAUGUAGGUGCAAUCAUCGUUUAUGUCACGCGAAGGCUAGUCAAAGACCUUUAUUGGUCGUGCACCAAUAAAUCUAUUUAGUAUAUCUCAUUUAUCCGUUCAAGUGAGAUGAAGGAGUGACCUAAAGAUAGAUUGGAAACAUCAUAGUUUCUUAUAUUGGUAAGGCAGCAACAACCUCGGCUAGUGCAUCAACCUGCUCGUUUUCCUCUAGGGGUACGCGUUUGAUAAACCAUUCAUUCAAUUUUUCUGUUCAAGUGUACCAAAGAGAGGUAAUGAGCCAUGCAUUCAUCUCAAGCUUCAUAUUUUAGUUAGAUUUGUUCACCCACUAGUUGUGAAUUGCUUUUGAUUUCUACUUUCAUGGUUGUGAGAGCUAAGGCUAGAUCGUCUCAUAAGAAUUGCUUCAUAUUUUGCCUCAAUAUUAGAUACUGGAAAGUUGAGACAGACGACUUGUUCAAUUUGCUCUCCUGUAAGGAAUUGUUGUGUUAGUCCUAUCCUAGCUUCUGAUGUUCUAGAGGCUUCGUCUACAUGGAGAACACGCCAUUGUUCUUCAUUGUUAGACCUUGUCCAUUUUUGGGGUGGUUCGACUAUGAAAUCAAUGAGAACUUGCUAUUUGAGAUACUAAUGAGGUUUGUACCGUAUGUAAUAUUCACUCAAUUUGAUUGCCCAAUUCACCAUUCGACUAGAUAGAUUUAGCUUGUGCAACGUGACCCACAACGGUUGAUUUGUCAAGACCGUUAUUUGGUGCGCCUGAAAAUAUGGACAAAGCUUCUUGGCAGCGAUCCGUAAGUUCAGAGCCAUUUGUUCCACUUAAGAAUAUCGUGUUUUUGUGUCAAUCAUAGCUUUUCUCACAUAGUAAAUAAGUCUUUGUUCAUUACUCUAAUUGUGUGGAAACAAUAUGACAUUGACAGCAAAGUUUGACACAACCAGGUACAUGUAUAACUCUUCUCUAGCUUCAAGACUACUUAAGAUUGGUGGCUUCGUAAGAUACUGUUUGAUGUCUUUAAAGGCAUGCUCACACUCAUCCAUCUAACUAGACAUCUUUGCUCCCUAGAGUUUGCUCAAGAAAGGUCUGAGCUUAUUUAUGAAGCGUGUUAUGAACCAACCUAAGGUGAUUAGACACCCAGUUAGACGUUGCACUUCCUUCUUGCUAGUAGGAGCAGGGAUUUCUAACACUACUUUCACUUGAGCCAGAUCGACUUCAAUACCCCCUUUGAGUCACCAUGAACACAAGAAACUUCCACUCACUUACUCUAAAUGCAUAUUUUAUUGGAUUAAGCUUCAUGUCAUACCUGCACAUUAAACUGAAUGCUUCUUCCAAAUGGAGGAGCUUCUUGGAACGAGUUAUUCUCUUAAUGACAAUGUCAUCGAUAUAGACUUCCAACGUUCGACCUAUCAAGGGCUUAAAAAUAUGGGUCAUCAACUGUUGGUACGUAGCUCCAAUGUUCAUUAACCCAAGCGACAUGAUCUUGUAAAAGUACAACUCCUUAUGUGUAAUAAAUGUCAUCUUCUCUUUGUCAUGUGGAAACAUUGGUAUCUGGUGGUAUCCAAAAGAAGCAUCAAGAAAAGACAACAUUCCAUGCCUGGUUGUGGCAUCGACUAUCUAAUCUAUCUAGAGCAAUGGGAAGCUAUCUUUCAAGCAGACUUCAUUCAUAUCCACGUAGUCUGCGCACACCUGCCAUUUUUCUCCUUUCUUGGUACCACUACCACAUUUGUUAACUAGUCCAAGUAGGUCACCUCCUUGAUAAAUCUUCCUUUUAAUAGCUUCUCAACUUCUAUCUAGAUAAUUUUUUGAUGAUCCAACUAGAAACGUCAGACUUUAUAUUGUAUGGGUCGUGCUGUAGGAAGAAGGUUCAACUUAUGAGAGCUCACCGCUAGGUCUAUUCCAAGCAUUUCCGAAUGAAUCCACACGAGGAUAUCCUUGUUUUUACAAAGCAUUUCACCAACAUUACCACAUUCAUCCCUAGUUAGCAAAAAAUUAGCGUAAGUCAUCUGCUUAUUAUUUUUCGACAAAGAUAGCUAUUGUAAUAGGCUGAUUGCCAAUGAGUCUCUAUCCUCUAGUUUUCCUUCGACCUAAUUCUAUAAUUGUUAUUAGCUCUCUCUUGAUGAUUUGAGUUCAUCUUUAGUUGGGCCUGAACUCCAUCGCCACUUAGUAACACUACUAGGUGGCUAAUUGGAUUCCAUGUGGAUCCACUUACCCAAAUUCUGUCAGGUAGCUCACCAUCUUAUGAUAGGUGGAUGGAAUAACUUUCAUCUUAUGUAGGUACGACAACCUUAUGAUGGUGUUGUACGACGGUAAAUCCUCUACUAUAGAAAAUCAUACGUUGAGAGUAGGCGGGUUGGCUUGGACAAGAAGUACCACGUCGCAUAGUGAUAUUGUGGCAACCCUAUUAAACCCAAACAAAAGUCGAACUAGAUUUUCUAAGGCAGAUGACGAACAUCCCAUUUUCCUGUAGGUUGACAUAUGCAAUAAAUUGGAAUGAUCAUUUUAGGAAGGAUCACUUGAUUAAUGUUAAUUGAAGGGAAAGUGAUUGGGUCAUUGACUGGUCGGGCACUUUCGACAGUAAAUGUGCACUGAACUGCACUUACUCUUUCCCUCCCUGUAGUCGCACAGAGCAUUCGUCUCCUUUGUUGUUUGGAGUGAUAUUUGUCAUCUACUAUUUCCCCAUGGAUAUAGUUAAUCACUACUCGAUGUGUUGUGGGAGAGUCAGGAACUCACUCUGACACUUCACGUGUCAUUUCUUUAUGUCCACCAGUUGCUCAGACAUACAACUUGAGAUGUCCGGUAAUGAUUAGUUUCUCCACCAAGUAGUGCAAAUUUUUGCACUCUUCUGUGGUGUGCCCAUGCUCCUUAUGAUAGAAUCAUCGCAAUCCUCGAUCAUGCUUGGACGAAUCAGUUUUGAUGGGCUCUAGCCACUUGAACUCGAGCAGCUCUCAAAUCAAGAGGAGAAUUCUAUCAUAAAAAAUGGUCAACGGGGUGAGCCUAGGCGAUUAUCAUUGUUGUUGUCUUUCUUGUCCUUGAUUAGUCUAUCUAGACUGGCUUGAGGGCUUUAAGCUCUUAGCCUUCUUUUUUAAUUGCUCGGUUUAUAACCAGGAUUUGUUGAGAGGUUACCUAAACAUCCUCCUCAAGCAUGACAUGUUUGCCCACUCGUCUAAAUAGGUCAUUCAUUGUAGUGGGCAACUUUUUGGCCAUGGACUUGAAGAAUUGAGUGCUUGGACUGAUGAUCCAUUUGAAGAUCUGCAGGAUAGCAUCCAUGUUGUAAGAUUCCAUCUAGAACACCGCUUGUCUGAAUCACUUCAUGAAGUCCCUUAGCGAUUCAUUCUCCUACAUCUGAAUGUUCUAUAAGGUGCUUAUAUUCUGCUUUUGGCGAGCAAAACAUAAAUAAUGGCCCACAAAGGCCUCUAAAACAUCUGUCAUCUGUUGUUGGAAGUGCAUCAGGUGAACAAAAGAGUCACCAUCCCAUAGUAAAUAGUAAAUUUGGGCACCGGAAACCCCUGGGCAGCUCAUAACUAAUGAUAUGUGGGUCAAACGACAUGAAGAGCAUGUCAUCCAAUCAUCUACUUAUGGAGUCAAGAGGGGCUUUUGUCAAUGGGUUAUUUGUCGAUUGUAGUUCUAGUAUUGAACAUUAAGGCAGACGGCUUGGUGAUGCCUCAUCGUUUGAUUGGCCUAAUUGUGCUUUCAAGGCCUCCAAUAUGCAUGGCGAUGCUAGUGUUCUUCUCUCCUGAUACCCAAGAUAGGCUUUCAGGGCAUCUGAGAGACGUAAGCCCCAUUCUUAACCCAUUUUCCAUUUUUCUCCAAUAGAGCUUGCAACCUCUUUCGCUUGAGUUCGAUCGACUACUGAAUGCACUAGUUCAAGUAAUGUUAGCGAACUGCUAGUAGACAAUCCCUCAUCCACUGUUUGUAGAGACGACUUAGUGUAUCAUUGAAGAACUUUCAUUGUUUGGCUUCAAACUACUCUUGAAGUCGUCUAUUGGUUGGAGGUACGAUGACUUUUUUAUCAGCACCCCAUAGCCACUUGUGCUCGUAGCUCUUGGUUCUCUUGCUGUAGUUGUUCUGCCUGUUGGACAGGGACUACAUAGGUUAUUCAUAUUCUUCUUGCUUUUUUUCUAUCUUUCCUUGCCAAGCUUGGAAUCGCUCGUCAACAUUUGCAGAAUGAGUUGCAGGAGGCGUGUUAACCAUCGUGUUUUUUAGGCAUUUGUGGUUGAUUCCCAUAGACAAUGCCAAUGUUGGUGCACGACCAGUAAAAAAAGGUGUUUGGCUAGUCUCCAUGUAACAUAGAUGACGAUUGCACCUGCACAAAGGAAUGUCUGAAUGGGUUUUUCAGGUACACCUUUCCAAAGCUUAGGUCAGAAAUGGAAGACUUAAGCAAGAGUUUUUGUGGAAAAAUUGGUAGCAUACUUUUCUUGUGGUUAAGAAUAACUAUUUAUCUUUGUCCAACUAUAAUAUCUUCUCAGAUGCCUUAAUUGAGCCUUUGAUUGUGCAUUAUCAUCUUUAAUGUCAAUGAUAGCCAACCCAUAAUGGUUGUUGUGUCUUGAUGAACCUUAAAGGUUGGCGUUUUAACCUCAUAAUGAUUGCAUCCAUCAAUGCGUUAAUGCACUAAUUGCCUAUUGCAAUUAAUGCUUGUUGGGCAAGAAUGCAUAGUGCCCGAUUAGAUUGUGUUUGUUUGGUACCCUAAGAGUACCCUGGGGUGGACAAAAAAGCCACAUGGCUCUUGUUCUAACAUGUCUCGACUAGACAGUGUUUGAGGAUCAUGUUAGAUGGUGAUGAGCAUCCCACAGUGAAGACGUAUGAUGAAAGCAAAGGUAGGGCUUCUAAACCAAACGCUUUUAGGGAUUUUUUUUUUUUUUUCAACAAAGUUGACCUCUUCAAGGAAAAAAAAAAAGGUUAAAAAAACUAUUGCUUUUUUGGAUCCAAAUCACCAUUUCCAAUGUGAUAUUUGGAUUUCCACCAUGUAUUUUUUUUUUUUUUAACAGUCAAGGACAUUUUAUGGAUUAUUGAAAGAUAAUAUCUUUCAACUUAAUUUCCUACAUUAAUUAAGUCUUAGGCUCAAAUGUGAAACUUAAGUGGUUGUUAGGCCAUCAAACCCAUCUGCCCUAAAGUAUAAUUUCCCAUUUUCAAAAUAUAUAGUUGUUAAACAUCUAUCCCAAACUAUUGUAACCCUUUGAAGUGCUUGGUAUGUUAACCUUGUUUCCUUUUCCUUAUGCAACAUGGCUAAUUGAUUGUUGCAUUGAAUCAUUAUCAUUCACCAAAUCCAUUCAACUAUGGACUUACCUUUCAAAUCCCUCUAACAAAAAUGGUAAUUCCAAAACAACUCAAGUCUAAUGUUCUCAACUCUUUCAAAUGAUUUAAUUAAUUGGUGUUUGAAUAUACCUCUUAUAUUUUUUUAGAGCAAUUUUUAGGCACAUAACAUAAAUUUCUAAUUUUUUUUUAGAAAAGGUUUUAUAUUUUAUAUUUUAUAUUACAACUUCCCCUUUUUUUUCCAUCUAAAAAACAAAACAUAAAACCUUAAUAACCGAGUUUUGUCACAAACCCUUAACAAAUAAUCUAUUUUCCAAAAAUUACUUUAACAUCUUUAAACAUAUUGAUUUAGUAUACUUUACUUUUAAUAUUUUUUGAAAAAUAUUUUUAUUUUAUAUGAUUAUUAAUUAAUUAAGAUUGAUUGGGUAUGGUAGAAUAUAUAUUCCAAAAUACAUCGUAUUGAGAACAAUAUCACAAGAUAUUAUAUCCAUAUCUUAACAUAUUAUAUACUUUUAUUUUGUGCAAUUAGCAAUUGGACGGAAGGUAGGGAGCCGGCUUAAUGGAAAUGUCGCAUCUCACGUGUGUCCCUUCCCUUACCAAGUCUCAACAAAGGAUGAAAAUAUCGGUAAUCACGGAUAUAUCGGUACUUCGAUUUUACGGAUAUAUUAGAUAUAUCAGAGAUAUAUUGACGGAUAUUUUGGAAAAAAAUAUCGAUAAGCCUAAAAUUGAUCAAAAUUUAUAAAAAUAUAAAAAAAACUUCAUAAAAAUGUAAUUAAAAGAAGGUCGUAUAAGUUACUCAUGUUGAUCAUGUGAUAUAUCACGAGAUAUAAUCGAUUUUUGGGAAUUUCUCACGAAAAUAUCGCGACAUUUCUUCCUUGUCUCGACUGCUCCAAGAUUUCCUAUACGCCCUUCUUCGCUUAGCUCUUAAGUCUUUUCUUCUCCUCUUCCUCAAACCCAUCACAUUUCGCCGCGUGGAGCUAAGUCUCAAGGUCCUUUUGUUCGUACGAUGUAUGUUCCCCCAAUUCCUCAUCUACCUUGAAACUCCAUACUCGCCAUCUACUCAACCACUUCUCUACUCUAGAGUCUGGAUGCUUUAUCUCCGCGAGUGUCGAUGGCUCUUCACCCCAGCGAGUAUGGAAUUACAAGGGCAAUAUCGUCAUUAAAGACACAACAGGCAAACCAAUGGCAUUGUCUUCCUUUUGGUCUAUUUUAUUUAUGCUGUAAGUAUUCGUGCUUGACUUCUCCCGCGUCUCUUAUAAAAACUAAAGAAAACCACUCCAACAGAGCACACUUCAAGAAUCUUCUUUUUUUUUUUCUUUCCUCUUUCUCUUUACAUAUAUACUGAGAAAGCCCAGCUCAUCCCUCAAUUCCCAGAUGGGUUUUAUGAAUGUUCUCAAGUUCUCAGCUGCAUGCUUUGAUAUUCUUGCCUGGUAUGUUGUCCACGCAUUUUCUCGCCAUUGGAAAUUUUUGGAAAAUGAAGUGGAAUUCUCUGUUUGAGGACAAACAUGGGAUUUUCUUUGAUUUCUCCCUGUUGGUUUUAUCUAUAUUCUUUGGAUUACCCACAUUCUUGUCAUUGAUUGUUAGUCAUUUGUUUGGAUUUCUACUUGCAGGCCUCUAUUUGCACUGGGUUAUCCUCUGUAAGUCUUGGUCUUACACCUCAAGAUAUGAUGAUUCAUUUACUCUUUUCUUGUUCUACGAAUAGUUCAGUUACAUUUAUUGUGUUGGGAAACUGAAAAGGGAAAGGAUUAUUCUUUAUUAUCGUAAUAAUCAUCAACAUCAUCUCGGUUCUUCACAGAUGUUCUUCAAUUCGGGCAAUUGAGACUAACUCAAUCUCAGACUUUCGGAAGUUGGUGGCGUAUUGGGUUCUAUUUUCCUUGAUUUCACUCUUUGAUCAUGCUUUUUCCAAGCUCCUUGAAUGGUAAUUUUGCUCAACUGCGUUCCACUAUAUGUGACUCUGUUUGUUUCAUUUCUUUGCCCUUAAGGAAUUUGGAGUUGCUUUUUUCAGUUUUCUUUCCUAUGAAAAUAAUCGAGAUGUUUAAUGUUCCAGGCCUCCAUGUAUUUUAUAUUCCUUCAUUUCUCUGCUUUGACAAAUGCUCACAAUCUGAUCAGCAGAAAGGUUAUAACAUUUGAAAAAGAAGUGGUUUAUUUUUGUUUUUUUUAAGUACAAUAAUUUUCGUUUGGAUAAAUGGUCUGAAGGGUGUUUGUGUUUGGCUGAGUUCAUGGAAUUUUCAAGCUAAUUUGGGAUUUAUUCUCAAUUUCAAGAUCAUUGUGGAUAUGUCAGAAAUUAAUGAAAUAUAAAUGGUGGAAUGUGAUUUUCUUGUUUAAGAAAAGUUUUUCUUUGAAAAUGCGGGUGCACCAGACCUACCUUAUUGNNNNNNNNNNNNNNNNNNNNNNNNNNNNNNNNNNNNNNNNNNNNNNNNNNNAUCAGAUUCAACUGUGAUAGCCCGGAAUUUAAUUCAGUAUUCGACUCUUCUGGGAACAUGUUGGUUAUGGUUUCUCUCUCACUGUCCUCUUCUUUACACAUGACUUUUCAGUUGAGGAGCACAAAGCCUAAUGUUGAAGUGAAAGAGAUCAAAGCACCUGCAGCACCGGAGAAAAAAGGGGAACAGGUAAGUACUCUAAUGUGGCUAUUUAAUUUCUAUGGAGGCAGAUCCCCAGAGAAAUGCUGUUCAUGUAAAUUACUGAUGCAUUUGAUUCAAUGGCCACGGUUUUAAAAGAAAAACCACUUUAUGUAUGUUUCUGUGAAUGAGAGAACAAGUUUAUGGAUUAAAUGAUAUUUUUUAUGGUGAAAUAAUCAAUAAUUUUCAAAAUAAUAAUACAUUCCUGCAUGUUUUUGCAAUUCAUGAAUUCCUUUUAUGAUUGAUUCUUCUCACCUUUUUUCUCACCUCAGUGGAAGUGUGAAGAGCCUAAUGUUGCUCAAAAAGAGAUCCAAGUAGUCAAAGUAACAGAGAUAAAAAAUGGGGGGGAUGGAGCAAAGAGGGUAAGUUUUGCUUUUUAUUUAUAAAGUAGGCUGUCUUCACACAAGGAUUAUUAUUAUUAUUAUUGUUAUUAUUUUAAGACAUGAAUGUUGAAUGAUUUUGGAAUUGUCCUUGAAUCAUGUGAAGUGUGAAUGGUCUAAUGCUGCUAAGGAGGAGGUCAAAGUGACAGAAGUAACACAGAGAACAUUUGGUGGUACAGCACAGUGGGUAAGGUUUCAUGUCAUAUUUAAAUGGCUCCUCAUAUUUCACUAGGAUUAAUUUUGCCCCUACAAACUAUUUGGCUACAAGUUAAGACAGAGUUCCAGAUGCUGAUAAAGCUGAGACAUAAGUAAUGAACGAAUUUAGACACAUGCACAACUCUUGUGUGAAACACAAUGAGAGUGGAAAAUAGCUAAGUUGAAAAAUGGCCAAAUACUAUUUUGUAGUUCCCCCUACCACUUAAGUAAUUUUUGUCAUCCUUUGUGAAUGGAAAAUGCAGUCCCUUCAGUAAUUCCAUUAUAUUCAUGACUUGGUGAAGCAUAUAACCAUUAGUGUCUUACCCUAAGUCGACCUUUAAUGAUGAUCCAUUGAGAUGGGUCUGACUUUUGUCAACCCUCUUAUUCCCUUGAUCAUAGAGGUGAAACUUAGGGGGCUUAACCCACUUUUCAAUCUUAUUGGAUAUAUGGCACGUGGUAUCCUCUUCAUCUUGAAAGAGUGAAGUGGUCAUACUCUUUCCUCUGAGUCCAUUGUGGCCAUGCACUUCAGGCUCAUUGGGCUGAGUGAAAGGAUUCCCUUCUGCUUCAAAUCAUAGAGAGAUAUGCCAUGGUCAGCCUCUUUAAUUCAAGGGAUUGAAGUACUCAAAUCCAUUUCUCUGUAUCCAUCUUAGUUCUGCAUUCAUGUCUCAUGGUUAACCAAGAAGAUCCAGCCUCCAUCCAUGAGAUCAGCAUCUGCAGGUUUAUGACACCACCCUUCCUUUGCAUAGGAAAGGGAUCAUUAAGCCAUGUGUCGGAUGACAGAAGUCAUCAUUCAGGUUAUCUUGAGAACUAAGGAAGUUGGAAUUCUAAUUAUUGCAUAUGGUUCUUGAUGUUUAGCCAAUAUACUAUAGGAUUUUAAGCAUCAUGCUCACGUGCAUUGUGGUUGCUUAUCAGCUAUAUGGUUUGCCAAAAUGAGGGACUGAUUAUGGUCAUAAGUACCUUUUUCCCAUUAAUUUCUUGCAUGUGCUCUGCUGAGAUUAUGUUUUUGACAGUCCAAAUCAGGGCAAACCAACAAACAGCUUUAUGUUAACUUUUACAAACUGCCAUAUUUUCAGGUUAAACAAACAGAGAUAAAUCUUGGUGAAACUAGAAGUAAUACAACCUGUGCUGUGGAGAUAAAAGAAAGGGCAGCAGCACUGGUGGCUGCAGAAAUUGAGGCAUGUAGAGACGAUAGAACCCCCAAGAUACCUCUUCAUGAGAAAGUCCAGAAAGAGUGGGCUUGUGCUGUGUGCCAGUUCACAACCCAAACUGAAGCGACCUUCAAUUCCCACCUUCAAGGGAAGAGACAUCAGGCCAUUUCUGAGCAGCUGAGAGCCAAAAAUCAGGCAACCAAAACCAAUUGUUCCCCAUCUGCUUCAAUGGCCAAGAAAUCUGAUCAGUCCACCAAAGAGGAGCAACCGAAGUGUACUUCCAAUCUGAAUUCCAAAAACAAUGGAAUCUCAGCUGCUUCAACAGUGAAGAAACUUGAUGAGACCAAAGAUGAUGAGCAACAAAAGUCUGCAUCUAGCAAUGGACCGAACCAGAAGAAUAACAAAAAGCAAGAGGUACAGACCAAUGAGCAAGGCCGUCAGAAGAACUUAAGGCAAACUGGUGAUGGAAUGAAAGAGUUGAGAUCAUGGUGCAAUAUCUGUAAUGUAAGCUGCACAAGGGAGCUUGACCUGGCCUCGCAUCUCAAUGGAAGGAGGCACUUUGAUAGGAUAAAGCAGCUGUCUGAAUUAUGGUGCAGUAACUGCAAUGUAAGGUGCAACAGUGAGGUUGAUAUGGCCUCUCACCGAAAUGGGAGGAGGCACUUGGAGCAGCUGAAGGAACGGUUAGGAUUAUGGUGCAGUAUCUGUAGUGUGAGUUGCAACAGCAAGGUGGACAUGGAUUCUCACCUAAAUGGGAAGAUUCACUUGGAUCAGAUCAAGGACCAGUUAAGAUUAUGGUGUGGGGCAUGUAAUACAACCUGCAAGAGUGAGCGCAACAUGGCCUUUCAUCUGAAUGGGAGGAAGCACUUAGAGAAGAAGGGGAAUACCUGAUUUGCAUGUUUCUUCAGAUUAUUGAUACUUACAAAUGGUUUUAGUUAGAAGCAUACAGGCCAGUGGGUGGUGGUCACAGAUGCCUCUAUUUUGUUGUAUGAAGUAAAAACAGUAUUUCCAUGUCCAGAAAUCAACCACUUGUUUAGUGCAUGCAUGGCUGGUUCAAAAUUAAACCUAAUUGUGAAUGACUAGGAGCAGGGAGGGAAAAAUUGAAGGGAAGAAUGUAAGAUUAUGGCUUCAUUUUUAUUUUUUCCUCUUCUGAAAAUUGUAAGAUUGUGUUAGGAGGAGCUGGAAUGGGUUCAAAUCAGGAAUUAAGACCCAGUUCCAAGACAUGGAAAGUGUCUUUAGAUUAUGUUAAGUUAUUUCCAUUUUUUUUUCUUUUCUAUUUUUUUUCUUUAUUUAUUGUAAGAGGGAGCAUAAAUGAAUUUUUAUUUUUUAUUUUUUUUUUCAGAAUAAAGAUGAAUUUGAUAAUUUCAAUUAUUGCGUUUGGAUGUAUUUCGGAACGUAAGAUUGAAAUAAUUAUUUGUUUUCAUUUUAGUGUUUGAUAAUAAUGAAAGUAUGAAUUAAAAAAUAAAUUGAUAAUAAUACUCUUACAUUUAAUUUAAAACAAUUUUUUAUUUUUAUUUUUAUUUUAGAAGAAUAUGGGUUAAUUUUAUUUAUUUAUUUUUUAAAUAAUAAGCUUAAGAAAAAUAAUUUUUACUCAAUAAAUAAAAUUAAUCAUACAAAGUCAUAAAAACCAAACCAAAAUAUAAGGGUAAAAUAGUAAUUUUAAAAUAUUCAUUUAAGUUAUCCAAAUGCAUUCCUACUCUUCAUUCUCUUGUACGAAAUACGGUCUUUAAGCGUUUGUCAAACUUAUUUCUUUUUUGGCAAUAUAUCAAUAUUUUAGUAAUAUUUUUAUCGAUUAGUUGCUGAUAUUUAUCGCCACGUCACCAAUUCUUUGAGUUUGACUUUCAAAAUUUUGAAAUGAUCAUUGAAGUCCAGUUCAGCCCAAAUCACUACACCCAUGAAAGGGAACGGCUGGGCCACCACACUAAUAUGGCCCAUACAUGGGACCUCGUAAAAGAAUACCCAUCUUCAAAAAUAGGGACCAUAUUAAAUUAUUAAUGUAGCUAUAGGAAGCAUUUGAGGACAAGGGUCAUGAUUUUUCCCUUUUCUUUUUCUCCUUAAUUUUCACAUCACCCAACAACACCACUCUUAAUUCACACAAAUUUGAAGGUUUGGAAUGAGACUUAUUCGUAUUUAUAUUGUAAUUAUGCUAUAAUAAUCGUGUCGUAUUUGGAUUUAUUUAUUAAAUCCAUCUAAAUCUUUUGUUUAUUCGUGUCAAAACAAUAUAUUUAUAAUCGAAUCCAUUUAUGACAUAUUCAUCUUUUAUAAAUUUAUUAAUUUUAUAUAUUUUAAAAUUAUAAAAAUUAAAUAUAUUUUUUCAAUUAUGAAAUCAUAUUACUAAAAUAUUAAAUAAUUCAUUAACUUGAAAUGUUUUACAUUUCAUUAAUUAUUUUAUAAUUACAACAUUAAGUGAAAUAAUAAAUAGGUAUAAAAUAUAUAUUUUAUUUUAGUUAAAAAUUAUAAAUUGUUAUUGAGACAUAUAACUAUUAAAAUUCUACCCAUUUGACUAUCAAACAAACAACUUAAGUUUUUAGUCAUGAUUUAAGCUUAUGAUAAACUCUAUUUACAAAAAUUAGAAACCAAAAUCAAAUUCUUCCUAGACUCAAAAACAUAAAGACAAUCUUUUAACUUUAGAAGACAACUAUCAUCUAAGAUAAGGGUAACUCAUCCCAUUGCAUGUACAACAAUUCUUGCUUCAAAAGCUAAUGUUAGGUACAUAUCCCUAUCAUUCAACCUUUCCCUUAGCUAAAACCCCUAUAAAGAAUUAUAAACAUGAUCAAUGGCUCCAAAAUUUAUCCACCAAGAGUUAGUGGAAUCUAACACUAAAAAUGAUUCAACUAAAAGAGAAUGAUGCAUACCUAACUGUCUCUUCAAGAACUAAGGGCAUUCCUUCUUCUAGUGGCUUUUUUUACCACAAAGGAAACACUUAUCAUGACCCUUACUCUUCUUCUUUUUCCCUUGCCCUUGAACUUUCCCUUCUGCUUGGUGAAUUCUACAAUGUUCUUCUUAUUUUGGUUAGAAGAACCUAAAGAACACUUAACUGCCAUAUAAAUACCUCUCUGGUCCUUGAGAAUUCCCUCAAUUGUUUUGUGUUCUCUCAUCAGUUCGGUUAUAGUUUAAGAAAAAAAAUGUUUUUUUUAUGUGACUAAACUUGGAAUGAAUGUCCAAGUUGCAUACAUACUCGGGCUAAGAUCAAGUCAUAACGUAGUUUAAGAAAAAAGAUUUUUUUUUUUUUUUUUUUUUUUUUUUUUUUGUGAUUGAACUUGGAAUGGAUUUCUAAGCUACUUACGUAUCCAGGAUGGGAUCAAGUUCUAACAUAGUCACAAUGCAGUUCAAGAAUUUUUUUUUUCUUUUUUUGUGCUCUAACUUUUGCCAAGACUAAAGAUCUUAAUUUUGCGAGCAUGUUCUAACUUUUGCCUAGGUCGCCUUUCCAAGUUUUCAAUUUAGCAAACAAGGUUUUUUUUUUCUUUUUUUUCUUUUUCUUUUUUUAGUUCUCUAACUUUUGCCAAGACUAAAGAUUUUAAUCUUGGAAGCAUGUCUUAACUUUUACCUUAAGUCGAAUUUUUAGGUUUUCAAUGUGGUGGAUUUUUUUUUUUUUUUUUUUUUUUUGUGUCGUAGGUAAUUUAAGCUCAUAUGGAUUGGAAGCAAUGUGUAGUUUGUUGGGAUUAAGCCCUUAAAAGCAAGACAUGAUGUAAUAAAGUUAAACUUAACUAUUUCCUUACUAUCUUUUUGGUGUAUCAACAUUGAUUUAAACAUUCAACCCAUAUCUCUUACAUUGUACAUGAUUUAGGAGCAUUAAGAGUUGCACAAAAGAUACAAGUUAUGGGUUCCUUGUAAGUAGAUGAGUUAUCCAUAGUCAUUUCAUGGAUUUGGGCAAUCUAGUAGUGACUAUAGUGCACCACCUCCUAAUUUAAGGGAUGACUUGUCUUGGCAGUUGGGAUGAGUUUCCUAUGGUGAGCGUACUAGUGUAAAUGAUGCACAUUGGACAGGACCUAUGGUGAAUCAUGACGCAAGGCUAUCAAUUGUCAUGAUUCACCAAGUUACUAUACUACAUGGACUCUCAACCUUGAGAGGACAUUGAACCCAUGUCAAAAUCAAUAGAAAGUUUUGACCUAUGGGCGAGACCCUAAAGUAGUCAUAUAUUCCUAUGGAUUAGGUCAUUGUUGAUGUAGGCUGGUUAUAAUAGGCAUUCUCAAUAGAGGCACCAUGAUAUGUCAUGGGAUUGAGAUGGUGUGUCCCUUUGGGUGAUCCAAAGAACAUGUGAUCAUGAAAUUUGUGGCCACAGUAAUUCCUUUAGUGAAAUUUGACAUAUGCUCCUUGGAGUUAGAGUAUGUCAAUUGAUCACAUAAUAAGUGAGAUCUAUAACUCAAGGAUUUGAGAGAUAAUAUUGAUAGGUGAUAACACUAACUUGUUAGAUUUAGACACCAGUUUCAUGAGGAAUAUGCAUGUAGUGGAUAGUAGGUCAUGAAUGCGAGCUUUGUCUCGUUGUUAUUUACAUAAGGUACCGGAGUGUAGUUGAUUCUCUUUAGUAGAGUGUUGAAUCAACUUCAAAAUUGGAUUAUGAGGUAGUCAGUACUCCUAUGGGUCUCAAUGGUCCCCACUCUGAGCUAAUAUACCAUGAUGACACAAUUUAUGAGGGUUGGAUUGACUUUAGGUUCAUUCUUAUGCAUAAGGGCAUUUUGAUAAUUACACAAGGUUGCAUAGGGGAUAAUAAAUAAGGUCUCUAGAUUGGACUAAUUGAUUAAUUAGAUGGCCUUAUGUGGUUAAUUAAUCAAUUAAGACAUGUUAGGGCUAGAUUAAGUGACCCAAGCCUUGAUGGGUUCAAGUCACUUAAGCCUAAUGGGUAACCGUAUAAAUACCUCCUUAUGGGUUAGGGUUUUCUAAUGACUUUUAGUUAGUCAUCUUCCACUUUUAGAAAAAUAGAGAGAGCCAAAGCUUCCUCCUUUCCACUGCCCACACUUUGGUAUGCCAAGAUCGGGAAUCGAGUCAUCGAACAAAAGAUCUUAGGUGUACGAGACCUUUGAACUCUUUAGGCUUCUUCUUCGUUGGAUGGAUUUUGAUCUGGGAACAUCUAGAUCACAUGUAUGUGUUAUAAUAUUUGGUUAAUUCAACCUAAGGUAAUCACCCUAGAGAAGGGGUGAAUAGGGUGAUGAUUUUUUUUUGCAAAUUUAAAUUAUGUGAAUGCAAGAGACAAUUAUAUGCAAAAUAUAUGGCAAAACCAUAUAAAAACAAUUGCAUAUAAAGUAAAAGGUUAAGGAAGAGAGAAUAUAAACACAAGAUUUUUAUAGCGGUUCAGUGCAACCCGACCUCCAUCCAUUCUCUUCUAGCUUCAAUACUAAACUUGAGGUUCCACUAAUUCAAGGCUUCCAAUCCAAGCCUUCAAGUAAUACAAUUGGAUUAUGGUUCCAAUCAAACCUCUUGAAAUUUUAGUUCUAAACACAUUUUACAAUCUUCAAGAGAUACCUCACUCUUGAACAACUCCUUAAGUGAUACCUCACACUUGAGAAUCCCUAAGUGAUACCUCACACUUAGAUUUUUCAUCUCAAAGAUUUAUCCGCUCUGCACCCACCUCCCGAGUAUAUGCUUCAACAGGAAUCACACAAGGGUAGAUUGAUACAAUAGAAACCUCUGGUAAAAUGCCCGCUCGUAACCCAGCAGAUAAAGUACAUUACAUAGUCCGUUUUAGGGAUUGGCUACUUACCCAUUCAGUGACUUUGGCACUGGACGUUCCCAAAAUGGGUACUAUCGGGUCGGGUGAAUUCAAUAAUAGACGCCUGUUGGCAUUCCAGCCUUCCUUCUCCUUUCAGGGCCUAUCCGAAAGAGAAUCCAGUACUUCUUGGUCAAAUGAAGAUAGGAAAUUAUUAGCCUAAGGACUCUCCUAAUCGGGUUUUGAUGAUAACAAACCAUGAUUAAAUGACUAAUUGGUUUAAUGGUUAAGAAUCUCAAGCAUAAACUCGAAAAUUCAUCAAAUGACCAAAUGGAUACAAGAUCGAGACAUUUGGAAGACUUGUGAUCAUAGGAAACUAAUGUAAGAUGAAUGCAUGAGUGCACUUAGGAUUUUCAUACCGUUUCAUACAAUUUAGAAAACUCAGUUUAUUCUUUAAAACUUCAAUUUCAUUAAAACCCGAGUUUUAACAAUUGUACCUCAGGCAAAAUGUUUUAAAAUUGGCAUAAUAAUUCACCUAAAAACCUUGCCUAAGUGUUAGGAAAGAAAGGAAUUGAAAAAGAUAGGUUUUCGGGGCCAAAAGGCUCAACCGGUCGAGGCUAUGGCCAACCAACUCAACCGGUUAGGGAAUCGGUCGACUGGUUACCCUUGUCCAGUUGAGGUCCGAUCGAAGGAUGCACAAAAUUUUCUCUCUCUCCCAGUAGCCUUCUCUUCCCGGUUGAGGUUAUUCUCUUCCCUGUCGAGGUCCGGUAUAGGCAACGGUAACCUGUCAAGCAUUAAAUGCUCCAACGGCUAGCGAACCGGUCAACCCCUAGCUCGACCGGUCAAGGUUACCUUUUGUUGUUUUUGACUCCCGAGCUUAGAAACCUAUAAAUUGAGAGCUCCACUUCAUUUAUUGACGAGAUAACACUUGCAAUCAAUUGUCUACCUAUUUGUUCUUGAUCAGAAAGCUCUCAUUUCUUUCUUAGUACAUUAAAUCAUCACUUGCAUAUCCUUUAGUGCACUCUUGUGUGUCAUCCUAGAUUUGUCUUGUAUUUGAGCUAUCUUUAAGCUAGGUUGAGGGAUUCAUUCUUGUAAAAACCGAGUGUUAAAGCCUUCAAGAAGUUUAAAUCUUGAAGAGAUUGUGUAAGAGUCCAUUGGAGCCAAAAUCCAAGUGUAAGAAGAUUGGAAGUUUGGUUGAAGUUUCAAGUUAGUGGAACCUUCACUCGGUUAGGAGAUUGAGGAGACUGAACGUAGGCAAAGAAGUGUCGAACUACUAUAAAACCCGAGUUUGAAUUCUCUAACUCUAGCUCUUUAUUUUGCUUAUAUUGUGCUUGAACUCGUUGUGAUUUAAAAGAAUUUAAAAAACCCCUAUUUGGGUGUUUUUCUUAAUUAAGCAUAGCCUUUAUUUUCUCAUAAAUAAUCUUACAAAAUCUUAGUACAAACUUUAGCCUUAAAUGAUACAAAAUAAACUAGGAUUGAAUGGUGCACUAAUGAUAUGUAAGUUUUAAAACAAUGUGUACAAAAAACACUCCCCUAAAGCUCAAAUAUAUUCGAGAAAGGUUUAAGAAGGUUAAACUCUUGAAACAAUAAAUAUUGAAACCUUUUUAUAGAAGAGAAAAACCAAACUACCUGUUGGGGAUUCGUUCGAUCAAGCUCUGGUUCGACCAGUUCACUAGCCUUUAGCAUUUAAUGUAUGAUAGGUGACCAUUGGACCUUGACUACCCCUUGAUUGGUACUCGACCGGAUGAAGUUCAACCUUGAUUGAUCGAAUAAGCAUUCUGGAAGAGAGAUAAGGUUUUUGCACCUUUCAACCGAGUAAGCUGAAUAGGUCGACUAAUUUCUCAUUCGAUUCAACCGAUUGAGUCAUUUUUUGCUCAACAACUAUUAUUUUCAACUUAAAACCUUUUAAACAAGUUUGGAAAGCAUUUGACAUAAGGUUUUAGUUGAAAACAUGAAAUCAUCCAAUUUUUAAAAGAUUUAAAACAAAAUAACUCUUGAAUGAUUUUGGUGUAUAAGUAAAGAAUGUAAUGCAUGAAAAACCCAAUGCACCAACAACCUUACAAAGAGAUCCUAUGAGUCUUAGGUCUUGAAAAACACUUAUCUUUAAGGUCUUCUUCUUCUUAUUGAUUUUAUCUUUGUGAUUGCCACUUUGGAAAUCAUCUUGCCUAGUCACACUUAAAAUAUAAUCAUUAGUUCUAAAUCUUGUUUUGUUAUCAUCAAAACUAAGAUUAACCAAACCUUGGUUUCACAAUAUGAAUAUUGUAUCUCUAGAUCUAUAGUUAAUAGUGGUUUUUAUAGUCAUUUGUUUCCAUUGCGAUAAAUUUAGAGAAGCUUAGGGAUAGAUGAAUGCACCCUAUGAGAUCUAGGGCAUAGGAAUGGAGUAAUCCGGGGUUCCUAACAUAGUUUAGGCUUGUGCUUCAUGGAGUGAUAACAAUUCUUCAAGCAUAGUUAUGCUUUAGAAAUUUGUUAUUGAUUGGUCCAAUUUUUAGACCAUCUUCAGCAACAAUCUUGUGUGCACCAUUGAUAUAAUCUUGUUAUACAAAAUAUGAUCUAUCACAUUUUUGGCAAGAACUUUCCACUGGUUUUGUGCAUGGUAAUGAUCAUGCAUGCAAACUUAACUAAGUUAUACACUAGAUGCCAAACUACUACAAUUCUUAUACACCUUCCCGUUUUGUGCAACUGAACAAUUCAACAUCAUAACACCAAAGUUCUUGCUUAGAUUUCCUACAGUGCUAAAAUUUUGAAAUGAUUAAUUUGUUUAUUUUUCUUUCAAUCCCAAGACCCACAUACAUCAUGUCAUGCCCUAAGACCCACUCUAAGGGCAUGACAAUCAUUUCACAUCUCAAGGUCGAAAGCUCAAAGUGUAAAUUGACCUUAACAUUCAUUUUGUAACUGGAAAAUUAUCAAUUACCAAAUUCAUAUUUAUAGUAGUAGAAUAAAAUUCUACAAGUUUCAAAUCUCAACUUUAAAGUUAACACAUCAACUAAAGUGUUAUUGUCCAAACAACUUCAAACUUAACAAUUCAAGCAAUCAUUAAAUUCUAACUUUCAAAAAAUAUUUUUUAAAAAUAAAGAUUUAACGAAAAGUCUUAGUAUUGCCAAAAUCUCAUCCUAACCUUCACUCCUAGCCUGAAUUAAGGUGCCUAAAAAAUUGUCAAUGAAAGGAAAUGAGAUCAACGCUCAAUAAGGAAUAUUAAUAAGGUUUCAUGGAUCAAACAUUUUUAAUUAUAAUUCCAAAUAGGAGAUAUAAUAUAUAAUCAUUUUCAUAAGAAAUUUUGAGUUUAAAUAUAAUAAUAUAUUGAAAACUUUUCAGCUAAACAUUUUCAUAUCUAUGUCAAAACAAUUUCAUAUCAAAUUCAAAUCAAAUAUAUACAAAAUAUUUUUACUUUGGUUAUCAAAUGUCACAUGGUGUCAAGUUAGGUGGGACUUUACAAAUUGGUGUCUAACCUCAAAUUUUUUCCUUUCAAGGUGGACGAAACCAAACACUACUAGUAUUAUUAACAUCUAACCAAAUCCCUAAAGGGUGAGAUCUAAAGCAAUUACAUUCUCCGCCAAGAAAUAUAAGGUCAACAAUUAUAACUCGUUGACUAGGGACAAAAAUAAACUAGAGUCAAACACCUUAUUUCAUUAAUUCAAACUUGCAAAACAAAAACAUCAUAUCUCCAUAAUUUUCAUUUUUUAUAAACAAAAGAAAUGUUCUAACAUAGUUUUUUCAUGAAAAAUAUAUAUUUGAUCCAUGCAUAAAAAUAAAAAUAAUUUUUUUAUUAUUCAAAAUAACAUAUAAAAAUAAAUAUGUUCUUUUGGCCAAAACAUGUAUUAAUUUUUCUUACCUCAAAGAAACACUCAAAGACCUUGAAGCAAUUAAUCCUAAAGAAUUUCACCCCAAAAAACAUAUUUCACACCUUACUAAAAAAAAAAAAACAAAACAAAAAAAUUACUAUUGAUUAUUUAUCUAAUAAUAGUUUUGUAUUUUAUAUCACCUAUAUUAUUUUUAACUUCCUAAUAAAUAACAAUUUAAUAAGCGAUUUUCCAAAUUUUUAAAAGUUAUGUUCUUUCCAAAAUUUAUUCAUAAUAUUCUAUUAUUAUUAUUAUUAAUUAAAUCUCUCAAAAAUAUGUUUUUUCUAUUUAUUGCAUUAAACUAUUAUUAUUAUUAUUCAAUUUCAAUUUGAUUAAUUGGUUUUUUCUUUUAAAUUCCUAAUUUAUAUAAGAUUCUUGUUUUGAAAAUCUUCCAUAUUUACUUAUUUGUUUAAAGUAAAUUUCUCCAAAACUUGUUCCUUUUGGUUAAACAAGUAUCUUUUCCUAUUAUUAUUAUUAUUAUUAUUAUCCCUAAUAUUAUAUUCAAAUAACUAAACAAUAAUAAUUUAAAUUAGUGAGUUUCCAAAUUUUUAUAAAACUCAUAUUCAUUCUAAAUCUUAUCAUAUAUAUCAAUUUCUUUUAUAUACUUAAAUUAAAUUAAAAAAUUUACUUAAAAAAUAUAUAUAUUAUAUUAUUACUUUCAACAUCCUUCUACCACCCAAACAAUUACUUCAAGUAAAAGUCAUAUAUCCUUAUUCUACUAACUAUCCUCUCUCUUGCAAUAGCACACUUAGGGAUGGCAAUGGGGUGGGUUCGGGAUGGAUCGCCCCUAUCCCAACUCCUCCCCAUUUAUUCAAAAUAAUUUUCAUCCUCGUCCCAUUUAAAAAAUUAAAUGAGGCAGGGCGAGUAUGAUAAAUUCUCAUAUUCGCCUCGCCCCGCCCCGUUUAACUCUUUUUUGAAUUUUUUUUUAAAAUUACUUUAAAAAUUUUUAAUUACAUUAAAAUAAAUAUAUUUUAUAAAUAAUUAAAUUAUUAUAUUUUUUAUAACUUAUUUUAUUAAAAAUAUUUUAUUAUUAUCUAUAUAUUAAAAAUAGUAAAAUAAAAAUUAAAUUAAAUUAAUUUUAUAUAUAAUUGGGGUGGGACGGGAUGAGGCAAUACCCAAACCUGCUCCGGGUUUUAAAAAAAAUUCUCAAACCUAUCCCAAACCCGUUUAUUAAAAUUAAAUCUCGUCUCAUUAGGGACGAGGCGAGUACCUGAAAAAACCUGCCUCAUUGCCAUCCCUAGGCAAACUUUCAUUUUUUUUUUUUUUUUUAUCUUUUUCCUCCUUAAGAUCAAUCCUAUUGUAAGCACCCUUUUUUUUUCUACCACAUCUUGUUGCAAGCAACCUUGUAAGUUUUUUUAAUUUAAAUUUUUUUUCCACUAUGGAGGCACGUACAACCAUAAAACCUCCUCUUUUUUUUAUUUUAUUUUUACAACUCUCAAAUCUCUCAACCUCCAUACUAUUAGGUUUUAUUCAUUUAUUUAUUAUUAUUAUUAUUAUUAUUAUUAUUCCAUAUCCAAAACUAUAAUUAAUUUUCUUUUAUAUUUUUUUAUUUUAGAUCUAUUAAUUUGAAUAUUCGAAAUUUUCUAAUCUUACUAAUAACUCUAAACGUUCAAAACUAAUUAAUGAAUAUAAAAUAUUAAUCUAAGGAUUAAAAUCUUAUAUAGAAAAUUGAUCUUUAAAUCCUAAACUCCCAAAUUUUCAACCUUACGUUGCCCUAUGUUGUCCAAUCUCUUAGAUCUCCAUGUAAAAGGGUUUUUUUUUUUAAUAGAGUAAAUAAGAAAAAUUUAAUUUAUACCUAAAAUUUUAAAAUGGAGAAAAAUCUUUCUACCCUUAUUAAUUUAAUUAAUUUUUUUAAAUUAUGUUUUUACCCUUGAAUUGGGUCUGGGCAUCACACAUCAUACUAAAAAGUUAUCAAUAACCAUCCUUUGAGGCACAUUAGCAUAAAUUUGCGACUUUAGUUGUGUUCUAGGUGCAAUUCUAUUAUGUUUAAUUGAAAAAUAACACCCAUAGCACAACCAAGCCUAAUUGACAGCAUUUGGGCAAAUAAAUGGUAAAUUUCUAAAAGUUCACCAAAAAAAAAAAAAAACAAAAAAGAUCAUAAAGGGCAUAUUUUUCAAGUCAACCUAGUUUUGGGAUAUUGCAAUCCAAUCUAAGAAUGCAAUAAUAGCUCUUUAAUUCAUAAUUUUAAAUUCACAAAAGAUAUCACCUAAAAUUACUAUAGGUUACCAAAACAUCAACAACAUAUAGAAAGCUUAGAAAUGCUUGGAACCUAUCGAAUUUUCACUUUUUAGGAAUAAAAAAAAAAUGAACUUUAAGGAUUUUAGGGUAAUACUUGCUUGAACCAUCUUUCAAUCCUUUUGUUGGCGGUGGGCCUUUUACCUAUAAGAACAGGAAUGAGAGGUGAAAAGGAGGGAGCCUUAUGAAAACGGAUCCCUAGGGCUUAAGAAGGGGUUUUCAAUUUUAGGGUUUGUCUGUUCACCAAGGAUGUGAAUGGGAAGAUGAGGUGAAGUUAAGAGAUUGGUGAAGCAAAGUGAGGGCAUGGUAGGGUUUGAAUAAGGGAAAGUCUACACUAUUAAUGAAGAUGAUAAUCUUUAGAAAGCAAAGCUAAGGUAAACUAGGGCUUUAACAACAAUUUUCGAUCUACACUAGUGAAGACGAUAUCUUCGAAAACCAAAGCUAAGGCAAGCUAGGGCUUUAAUAACGAAUUUCAAUCUACAAUGGUGAAGAUGAUAAUCUUCGAAAACCAAAUCUAUAAUGGUGAAGAUGAUUAAAAACUAAAUCUAUAUUGGUAAAGACGAUUGGAAAGCAAAUCUACACUAGUGAAGUCAACGAAACCAAAGGUAGGUAAAAAUAAUAAUAAUAAUAAUGCAUUCUUAGAUCCAAAUCACCAUUUCCAACAUGGUAUUUGGAUUUCCACCUUGUAUUUUUUGUUUUUAAUUUUUUCAAUAAUCAAGGACAUUUUAGGGAUUAUUAAGUGACAAUAUUCUUCAACUCAAUUUCCCACAUUAGUUAGGUGUAAGGCUCAAAUGUGAAACUCAUAUAGAUGUUAGGCCAAUCAUCAAACUCAUUUGCCUUGAAGCAUAAUUUCCCCUUUUUAAAAUAGUUGUUAAACAUCUAUCCCCAACACUUGUAACCCUUUGAAGUGCUUGUAUGUUAACCUUGUUUCCUUUUUCUCAUGAAACAUGGCUUAUUGAUUGUUGCAUUGAGUCAUUAUCAUUCACCAAAUCCAUGCAACUAUGAACUACCUUUCAAAUCCCUCGAACAUAAAUGGUAAUUCCAAAACAACUCAAGUAUAAUCUUUCCAAGCCCUUCAAAUGAUUUAAUUAAUUGAUGUUUGAAUAUACUUCAUAUAUUUUUUUAGAGCAAUUUUUUAGGCAUAUAACAUAAAUCUCUAAUUUCAUUUUAUUUUUUUUAUAAAAGGUUUUAUAUUUUAUAUUACAAUUUCCUCUCUUUUUUUUCAUCUAAAAAAAAAAACAUAAAACCUUCGUAAACGAGUUUUGUCACAAUCCCUUAACAGGUAAUCUAUUUUUAAAAAUUACUUUAACAUUUUUAGAUAUAUUGAUUCAGUCUAAUUUAAUUUUAAUAUUUUUUAUAAAAUAUUUUUAUUUUAUAUGAUUAUAAAUUAAUUACUAUUGAUUGCAUAUUAUAGAAUAUAUAUUCUAAAAUAUAUCCUAUUCACAAUAAUAUCAUAAGAUAUUAUAUCCAUAUCCUAACAUAUUAUAUACUUUUAUUUUGUGCAAUUAGCAACAGGGUGGAAGACGGCUUAGGCGGGAGACGGCUUAACGGAAAUGCCGUCUGCCAUGCGUGUCCCUUCCCUUAGUGAGUCUGAACAGCUCCAACAUUUCCGACACGCCCUUCUUCGCUUAGCUCUUAAGUAUUUUCGUCCCGUUUUCAUUAACCCCAUCACAUUUCGCCAUGUGGAUCUAAGCCUCAUGGUCCUUUCGUUCGUACGAUGAAUAUUCCCCCAAUUCCUUAUCUACACUAAACCUCCAUACUCGCCAUCUACUCAACCACUUCUCUACUCUAGAGUCUGGAUCCUUUAUCUCUGCACGUGUCUAUGGCUCUUCACCCCAGCAAGUAUGGCAUUACAAGGGCAAUAUCGUCAUUAAAGACCCAAAAGGCAAACGAAUGGCAUUAUCUCCCUUUUGGGUCUAUUCUAUUUAUAUUGUAAGUUUUUCGUGAUGACUUCUCUCAUAACAGCUAAAAACCACUCCAACAGAGCACACUUCACUUCUUCGUUUUUGUCUUUCCUCUUUUUUUUUUUUAGAGAAGCUGAGAAAGCCCAGCUCGCCCUCAACUCCCCGAUGGGUUUGAUGAAUGUUCUCAAAUUCUCAGCUGCAUGCUUUGAUCUUCUUGGUUGGUAUGUUGUCUACGCAUUUUCUCGUCAUUGGAAAAUUUUGGAAAAUGAAGUGGAAUUCUAUGUUUGAGGAGAAACUGGGAUUUGCUUUGAUUUCUCCAUGUUGGUUUUAUCCCUUUUGUUUGAAUUGUCCAGAUUCUUGUCAUUGAUUGUUAGUUAUUUGUUUGGAUUUCUACUUGCAGGCCUCUGUUUGCACUGGGUUAUCCUCUGUAAGUCUUGGUCUUACACCCCAAGAUAUGAUGGUUCAUUUACUCUUUUCUUGUUCUAUGAAUUCUUAGUUCAGUUACAUUUAUUGGGUUGGGAAACUGAAAAGGGAAAGGAUUAUUAGUUAUUAUCAUAAUAAUCAUCAAUAUCAUCUCGGUUCUUCACAGAUGUGCUUCAAUUCGGGCAAUUGAGACUAACUCAAUCUCAGACGUUCGGAAGUUGGUGGCGUAUUGGGUUCUAUUUUCCUUGAUUUCACUCUUUGAUCAUACUUUUGCCAAGCUCCUUGAAUGGUAAUUUUGCUCAACUUCAUUCUUUGCCCUUCAGGAAUUUGGAGUUGCUUUUUUCAGUUUUCUUCCUUGUGACAAUAAUCGAGAUGUUUAAUGUUCCAGGCCUCCAUGUAUUUUAUUUUCCUUCACUUCUCUGCUUUGAAAAAUGCCCACAAUCUGAUCAACAGAAAGGUUAUAACAUUUGAAAAAGAAAUGCUUUGUUUUGGUUUUUUAAGUGCAACAAUUUUCAUUUGGAGAAAUGAUCUAAAGGGUAUUGGUGUUUGGCCGAAUUCAUGGAAUUUUCUCGCUAAUUUGGGAUUUAUUCUCAAUUUCAAGAUCACUGUGGAUAUUUCAGAAAUUAAUGAAAUAUAUAUGAUGGAAUGUGAUUUUCUUGUUUAAGAAAAGUUUUUCUUUGAAAAUGUGGGUGACCCCAACCUACCUUAUUGUACUACUUGGAACACAAAACAAAAGUUUUUCUCGCUAAUUUAUUAACUAAAUUGCACACUUUUUGAUAGUUCAAGGAAGUGGUGUCAGCUUUGGAAAUAAGAUGGAUGAUUGUAGGGAACUUUAUUUCUCAUCUUUAUAGGGAACUUUCCAUAAUAUAGCUUAUAAAUAUCAUAAUCACAGUGAUGAAUGAUUGUCUUGUUUGAAAGCAUGGUUGCACUUAUUUCCAGGGAAUUUGUCUGCGUUGAAAUUAAAUUAAGCUUUAUGCAUCAUUUGGAUGCUGGGAAACAAAUGGAAAUAGAAAAUUCAGAAUCUGACAAGUUUGUGUAGGGCAACUGGAUCUAAUCUCUUAGUCGAAGCUUAAUAGGGGCAAAUGCUGAUCAUCUUUGAACCUAUUGAAGGCUCUAAUCUGUGCACAAUUCUAAUGUUUUUGUUUUCUUCAUUUCUUUUUCAACUUUUCAUAAUAGAUGUCAAAAGUUAAAACCGAACUUACGUAGUCCAUCCAAGUGGAUGCAUAUAAAUUUAACAGAAACUGAAAUUUGAAGAAAUUUAUUUUCCCUUUUGUAAAUGGUGUUUAAAAAGUCUGUGUGUAGUUUGGUUUUUUUCCUGGAAGAUCAGAUGAUUUCGUGAUCAUUUUUUCUAUUUGCCUUAUCAUCAUGAGAUUUAAGUAUUUUUUUUAAAAAAAUAUUUUAUUUUCUUAUAUAAUGCAUGUCAGGAUACCAUUCUGGCCUUACAUAAAGCUGAUGGUCAUCUGCUGGCUGGUGAUACCGCAUUUUGAUGGUUCCUAUUAUAUCUAUCAAUACCUAGUUCAUCCACGCUUGUCCAUGGAUCCACAAGUUGUCAUGAAUUGGCUCUUCAAUGAAUCAAAAAAGAAGUUUCAUAGCAGAGAAAACUUUCUUGUUUCAGCAGACCAAUAUAUUAAGGAGAAGGGACCUGAAGCUUUGGAGAAACUACUUGCAAGGAAGGUAUGCCAUUAUAAGUAGGAUUGUCAACAAGUCAAAUAGAGUUUUAUUUGAGAUGUUCAAGUAAAAAAUUACUAUAGCAGGUCAUCUAGAAUUAUUGGUCUAAAUUCAUGUAUAUAUCUAUAUAUAAUUGUGUUCUCUUUUUUUCACAUAUGCAUGUGCAUUUAGAUUUACGUAAUUAUAUAUGCAUAAUCAGAUUCAACUGUGAUAGCCCAGGAUUUAAUUCAGUAAUCAACUCUUCUGGGAACAUGUUGGUUAUGGUUUCUCUCUCACUGUCCUCUUAUUUAUACAUGACUUUGGCUUCAGUUGAGGAGCACAAAGCCUAAUGUUGAAGUGAAAGAGAUCAAAGGACCUGCAGCACCGGAGAAAAAAGGGGAACAGGUAUGCACUCUACUAUUUUAUUUCUAUGGAGGCAGAUCUCCAGAGAAAUGUUGCUCAUGUAAAUUAGUGAUGCAUUUAAAAGAAAAACCACUUUAUGUAUGUUUCUGUGAAAAAGAGAACAAGUUUAUGGAUUAAGUGAUAUUUUUUAUGGUGAAAUAAUCAAUAAUUUUCAAAAUAAUAAUAUAUUCGUGCAUGUUUUUGCAAUUCAUGAAUUCCUUUUACGAUUGAUUCUUCUCACCUCAGUGGAAGUGUGAAGAGCCUAAUGUUGCAGAAAAGGAGAUCCAAGUAGUCAAAGUAACAGACAUAAAAAAUGGGGGGGAUGGAGCAAAGAGGGUAAGUUUUCCUUUUUAUUUAUAAGGAAGGCUGUCUUCACGCAAGGAUUAUUGUUAUUAUUUUUAAGACAUGAAUGUUGAAUGCAUUUGGAAUUGUCGUUGAAUCAUGUGAAGUGUGAAGGUGCAAAUGGUGCUAAGAAGGAGAUCAAAGUGAUGGAAGUAACACAGAGAACAUUUGGUGAUACAGCACAGUGGGUAAGGUUUCUUGUCAUACUUAAAUGGCACCUCAUAUUUCACUAGGAUUAAUUUUGGCCUACAAACAUAUUUGGCUACAAGUUGAAGACAGCUUUCCAGAUACUGGUAAAAGUUGAGACAUAAGUAAUGAAUGAGUUUAGAAACAUGCACAACUCUUGUGUGAAACACAAUGAGAGUGGAAAAUAGCUAAGUUGAAAAAUGGCCAAAUACUAUUUUGUAGUUCACCCCACCACUUAAGUAAUUUUUGUCAUCCUUUGUGAAUGGAAAAUGCAGUCCCUUCAGUAAUUCUGCAUAUAACCAUUAGUGUCUUGUCCUAAGUUGACCUUUAAUGAUGGUCCAUUGAGAGGGAUCUGACUUUUGUCAACCCUCUUAUUCCUUUGAUCAUAGAGGUUAAACAUACGGGGCUUAACCCACUUUUCAAUCUCAUUGGAUAUAUGGCAUGUGGUAUCCUCUUCAUCUUGAAAGAGUGAAGUGGUCAUACUCUUUCCUGAGUCCAUCGUGGCCAUGCACUUCUGGCUCAUUGGGCAGAGUGAAAGGAUUCCCUUCUGCUUCAAAUCAUAGAGAGAUAUGCCAUGGUCAGCCUCUUUAAUUUGAAGGAUUGAAGUACUCAAAUCGAUUUCUUUGCAUCCAUCUUAGUCCUGCUUUCAUGUCUCAUGGUUAACCAGGAAGAUCAAGCUUCCAUCCAUGAGAUCAGCAUCUGCAGGGUUAUGACACCACCCUUCCUUGGCAUAGGAAAGCGAUCAUUAAGCCACAUGUCGGAUGACAGAAGUCGUCAUUCAGGUUAUCUUGCGAACUAGGGAAGUUGGAAUUCUAAUUAUUGCAUAUGGUUCUUGAUGUUUAGCCAAUAUACUAUAGGAUUUUAAGCAUCCUGCCCAUGUGCAUUGUGGUUUUUUAUCAGCUAUAUGGUUUACCAAACUGAGGGAUUGAUUAUAGUCAUAAGUACCCUUUUCCCAUUAAUUUCUUGCAUGUGCUUUGCUGAGAUUAUGUUUUUGACAGUGCUAAUCAGGGCAAACCAACAAACAGCUUUAUGUUAACUUUUACAAACUGCCACAUUUUCAGGUUGAACGAUCAGAGAUAAAUCUUGGUGAAACUAGAAGUAAUACAACCUGUGCCGUGGAGAUAAAAGAAAGGGCAGCAGCACUGGUGGCUGCAGAAAUUGAGGCAUGUAGAGACGAUAGAACCCCCAAGAUACCUCUUCAUGAGAAAGUCCAGAAAGAGUGGGCUUGUGCUGUGUGCCAGUUCACAACCCAAACUGAAGCGACCUUCAAUUCCCACCUUCAAGGGAAGAGACAUCAGGCCACUUCUGAGCAGUUGACAGCCAAAAACCAGGCAACCAAAACCAAUUGUUCCCCAUCUGCUUCAAAGGCCAAGAAAUCUGAUCAGUCCACCAAAGAGGAGCAACCGAAGUGUCCUUCCAACAAUCUGAAUUCCAAAAACAAUGGAAUCUCAGCUGCUUCAAUAGUGAAGAAAC